rnacentral:lncRNA from 1 species
CGAUACCAAGAUAAAAUAAACUUGUUGGGAUAGUCGAUGACAACUUGUUAUCAGAUAGAGAAAUGUAUUGUAGCAUGGUGAGAUUACCAAUGCUAUCAGGUAUGGAACCUGAGAGCUUAUUAUCGGUCAGGUACAACCAUACAAAUCUUGCCGUACCAAUCUCUUCAGGGAUAGGACCAGAUAUUCCAUUCGAGGUAAGAUCAAGUCCCUGCAAAUUCUCCAACUUCAUGAGGGAAGCUGGUAUGGAAUCACUGAGUUGGUUGUAUGACAAAUUUAGCGCUCGCAGAUUAGUAAGGUUUGACAGUGUAGCUGGAAGGCCACCAGUUAAGUGGUUGUCGUCUCCUUCGAAUCCUAAGAGUUCAGUUGAGAGGUUUCCAACAUAGUUUGGGAGAGACCCGGUGAAAGAGUUAUGUGAUAUCAAGAGGUACUGAAGUUGGCGACAGUUACAAAGGCUAGACAGGAAGCUGAGAUCCCCUUGGAGGUGAUUGCCUCCAAUUUUAAUUUCAACGAGAGGCCUGAUGUUUCCAAACGUUGAUGGUACAGGCCCUGUCAGCUGGUUAUAUCCCAAUCCCAAGUAUGACAAUUCAGAUAAGUUUCCAAUAAAGGCUGGAAAAGUUCCGAUGAGCUGAUUAAGUGAAAGAUAGAGAUACGUGAGUUUUGUCAGUGUUCCCAGCUCCACCGGAAUGUGGCCGCUUAGGUGGUUGUAUGAGAGGUCAAGGCCUCUGAGCAUGGAGAGAUUUCCCAACAGACUAGGGAUCGUACCAACGAGCUCAUUGCCACCCAAAAAGAGGAUAGUAAGACGUGACAUAUUAGCCAGCCAUGGCGGCACGACACCUGAAAAAAGAUUUUCUUGCAGAGAAAUUGUCUCAAGAUUCUGGCAUGAAGCAAGCCCUGACGGGAUUAGUCCUGUGAAUUUAUUCAUGUCUAAUUCUAUGUCUUGCAACAUAGGGAGAUUAAAGCUUCGGUUAGUAGGUAAAGGCCCCGUCAGAUUGUUAUUCCAGAUAAACAUGGCUUCAAGGCUAGACAUGUUGAAAAUGGCAGGAGGGACUGGACCAGAGAGCUGAUUGUCUGACAACCAAAGAAAUCGAAGCAUGGGCAAGGAGCCAACACAGUCUGGUAUGGACCCUGAUAAACUAUUGUACCCCAAGUAUAUGUGGGUUAAAGAAGGUGUAGCGUUGAAUAAAUACUCUGGUAUCGGACCACCCAGGUAAUUGCUCGUGAGAACCGUUUGCCUAAGGCUAUGAAGAUUUUGCAGCUCCACUGGUAUGUGCCCUGAGAUGUGGUUGUAACCUAGACUAAGAAUCUCAAGCCUCGUCAGGUUCCCUAGUGUAGAGGGAAUAGUAUCGGAUAAGGCGUUGUUGGCAAGAUCAAGAAACUUAAGACGUUGCAGCCUCCCAAGAUGAGCUGGGAUGGAACCUGUGAGGUUUAAGCCGGUGAGUCUGAGAACAUGGAGGAAAGAGAGGUUACCAAGGUGAGGGGUGAGCUCUCCUUCGAGAGGAACGUCACGGAGGCGCAAUCCGACGACCACCCGCGGCCGCCGCCGGCUGCACGACACGCCGACCCAGCGGCACAUGGACACCUUGGUUGUCCAGUUGCUGGCAAGGACUCCGAGAGGAUCGGAGAGCCGCGCUUUGAAAGCCAGCAGAGCGGACAGGUCGUCGCCGGUGCCAUUGCUGCUGCUUCCAACGCCGUGCAGGCGGGAAGUAGAAUCAACCAGUAGUACUGUCAAUUGGAGUACAAGCAUGAGCAUACGAAUGCUGUUGCGUGGAAGUAACAGCCAGGCCAUAGAAGCAUUACGCAGAAGCGUUCCUGGUAUAUAAGCGUUGAGGAACAACCUACUCCUUUAUAUAACUUGGAAGAUAGGGCACAUUCGCGCGGGUAUGUAUCGUAGAUUGCGUUUGAAAAACUUAUCGUAGAUACUGCCAUGUUUCAAAAGAAAUAUUUCUGAAUAAAUUUUCUUCAUCAACAUUGCUUAGGUAUUUUUUUUCAAACUAUUUGUUAGCUUUCAAAACACAUAAUAUUUAAUAAAUCCCUAUAAAUAAUUAUAUAUGAUUUCUUCAGUAUAGAGAGUUUGUUUAUAAAAUAUGUCUAACUUAAAAUUAAGGUGUUUUGUCUUGUUUAAUUCAAUAUUUAGUGGUUUUUUUAACAAAUCCUAAAUAACUAUUAAUAAAUAUGUUUUAUUUGUAGCAUCAAGUUAGUCAUCCUUUUAGUUGGUUCAGAUUGACGCAAGUUUGUUAUAUACUUAUAUAUAAAUUAAUAAAGACAUGUCGUAGAUCUCGCUUCCUUGUGAUAGGCGUGAUAUAUACUGUUUUUUUAAAAGAAAGACAUAAUUAACAUGAGUCCAAAAGUUUAAAUUUAAUAGUAACAAAUAUAACUUUUUAACCAACUAUAUAUUACUAAGUGGCUCCUUAUAUAUGCAAUAAUAUGUGAUGAAAUUCAUAGUGCUAUGGUAUAUGAUUGAUAUAAGGCCAUUAAUAUCUAAGCAUUUAAAAAUAAUUAUGAAAAUGGAACAUGCAAUGUGGUUUGUCCAAUUUUAAUAAAGAAUAAGAACUAUUUUUUUCACAAACUUAUUAGAUUUUCUCCAAAUAGUUCAAUUCAGUCAUUUUAUCAUUUUACUUAUAUUGUUAUAAAUCUAAUUUAAUUAUUGUGCAAUUAUAUACAACGAUAAAAUCUAUAUCUUUUUUUAUAAUUUCAUAAUUAUUUGAAUGUCACGUAAAAGUCAAAAAAAUAUAACCCCAAAGUGACAUAUGAAAAGUUAACUAUAGUGAAUAUGGCUCUUUAAAAUGUAAAAUAAUCUAAAGAUAUAAACGGAUCAAAUAUUAGCUAUAUAAUUUAGAUGUUAUAGUUAUUUACAUUUUGGCAUAACUUUUGUUUUCGAACUGAUAUAUUUUGGAAGUGUUUUACCCAAGCAUAUGGGUGGCGGUCUAGCCUAAAGAUUGGUGCUCCCUAAAUUUUACUGCUUUUCUUCUCUUGUUACAAACUCUUUUGUGGGCGUGUGUGUUUUAGCUGUGUGUAUCCUAGUUAUGCAGAGGCCGAGGGUUUUCUUAGUAUGGUUCUAUCAACUUGAUGUAAUCGUUUGAUAUUAAGAAAAGCUUCCUUUACACAACAAAAUAUAUUAUGGGAAAUUAUGAUUAUAUAUCUAAUUUAAAUUACAAAGUUACAUACAGUGAUAAAAUAUAUAUUAUUUAUUAUUUCAGACUUUUUUUAUAAUUACUUGAAUGGCACACAAAAGUUGAAAAAUAUAACCAAAAUAACAUUUAUUUCAAAGUUGAAUUAUAGUGAAAUUUCUUCUUCUACUAUAAAUUUAGUCAUAAACAAUUUAAAGAUAUAAGCGAAUCAAAAAAAAAUUAUAUGAUUUAGAUGUUAUAAAACAAACUUUUCAAGCUAAUAAAUUAUGAAAAUAGAAGAAGGAAUUGGUGAAAAAGAGGAAAUAUUUUUUUUAAAAAAAAUAACGUGCGCACUUAAAUACAUGCCUAGCUUGGUCCAUUUUUGGGAGGUGAACUUUUUCUUUAAGAUAAAUCUAGUGGUUGUAAGGCUUAGGUGGGCCCAAUUUUGGAAGGUGAUAAUUAUAGGGUGUUACAAAUUAAAGUAUAACAUAUAUACCUUAUCUAUAAUACUGAUAUAAUUAUAGUAAAGAUGUGUUUUAAACUGUAAAUUUAUUAAUCGUAAACAAUCUAACAACAUAAGCUGAUAAAAGGUACAUGCAUGAUUUAAAUGCUAUAGUUGCUCAAAUGCUUUUAUAUAUAUUUUUCUUUCUAAGUAACAGAAGGAAAAGAGUAGAACAGGAAUAGGGUACGGAGUACGUAUACGUAUACGUACGUUAACACAAAUAGGGUGGGCCUAGUUUGGUGGUAGAUUAGGAUGGGUGGAUUCUCUAUGUUUUUUUCCUACAUCUAAUCUAAUGGUCUAAAAGAAUGAGUCCAUCAAUUUAAAUGAACAUUAAAGGUUAGAUUUUUUUCUGUCACGUGGCAGCUUAGGAGCGUUUGUAGACACUACUACAAUAAGGAUUUUCCCGUGCGGAUGAAUCCAAUUUUUGCGUGCGGAGGAUUCAACCGUCUAGAAGGAUUCAUCUACGAAAAUCGUGAUUUUUGCGUGCGGGCGAUGCACUGCACGCGAAAAUCACGGGCGCUUAAGCCGCCCGCACGGGAAAAUGAAAAAUCGAAAUAAAAAUAAAGAAAAAACAAACCCUUACCCUAAUCCAGCCACCGCCGUUGCCCCCACGGUCGCCGACGACGGAUCCGCCACCUGCUCCCAUCGCUGAUGCCGGAUCCGUCGCCCGCUCCCAUUGCUGCCGGGGAGGGGAGGGGAGGGGGGAGGGAGGGAAGGAGCUGUGGGCCGCCCGUCAUCGCCACAGCCUGCGCCCACCGCCGCCACCGCCGCCCCCAUGCCUCCCCUCCGCUGGAUCUGCAAGGGGAGGGGCCGCGCGCCGCGGUCCGCCACCGCCGUUCCCAUGACUCCCCUCCACCGGAUCUGCAAGGGGUGGGAGGGGAAGGGAGGGGAGCCGAGGGGAGGGGAGGGGUCGCGCGCCGCCGUCCGCUGCCGCUGCCUGCGCCCGCGCCACUAGGAGGAGAACGUGGAGUGAGAGAGAGAUCGAGGAGGAUAGAGAGGAGUGAGAGAGAGAGGUCGCGUGAGAGAGAGGGAUGAUAGGAUCGGCCGUUAAUAAAUAAAAGAGAGAGAGAGAGAUUUUUCCCGGACUUAGGAGCGCACGGAUGGCGGAGAGGAGGGAAAAGGCGAAAUUUUUGAAAUGGGUAGGAGGGAAACUAUUUUCCCGUGCGGUUCUCUUAAUAGAUCCGCACGGGAAAAUCGGCUCAUUUUUGCGUGCGGUCCAUUUAAGAGGACCGGAAAAUCGAUUUUCCCGUGCGGUCCUAAUUACCGCCCGCAUGCAAUCUAAAAGAUCCCUGUCCAGGAAAAUCAUUUGUGUAGUAGUGAGAGUGUCACCUGGUGGCUUAGGAAAAUUUUGUUUACAGUAAUGCUCCAUCUCCAAUGGUAAUAGAACCAAUCUACACCGUUUAUUUUUUUUCUACCAGAAGUAAGACUCAUAAAGCAACGGUUGAGCUCAAUUCUACUAUGAUAAUACUGUGAUACAAAUGUCCGAAUUUGCCCUACUGCCUUCUCAUUGCAAUCUCCAGGCUCCGGCGGGCAGCGAACAAUCAAACAAAGAAGGCGACAAGAAAAAUCUUCGGUGUAAUUAUAUUUCUUCUUACAUGUCGUUUUUGUGUCAAUUUAUCCUUUUGUACUAUCUACUGUUUUCCUGGGUAUAUAUUAGAUGUCCCCCCGCCCCCCCCCCCUCCAAAAAAAAAUCUUUGUUGAUAGGUAAAUAGAUAAAAAGAAUAAAUGAAAAAUGGAGCACUCCUUGGUACCUGCUCAAGACUAAAAAAUUAUAAACACUAAAAAUUACAGUUCCUAUCUGCUGUUAGAAUCUCCUUAAGAACCAUAAAAUUGUUUUUUAAUAACUGAUUAUGUCACACCAACACUAUAUAGUCGUCUAUGACCUCAUAAUAAUUGAACACAAAACUCAAUUUUGACACAUCAAGAACAACAUUUUAAACUGAUAUGAGCACGUACUAUUUAUGUUUAUAGUUGUUUUUCUCAGCCUAAGAAAUUUAAAUUAGCAAGUUUACGAAGUGAUACCAUGUGCUGUCACAAGAUCUUUAUUUAUGUUUAUAGUUGUCUUCUGCCGCUCUGCGUGUUUGCGUCGUCGACUCGACUCGAGGGCUCGAGGCCAGCAGGCCAACCGGCAACCGCCCGGCGGCCAGGCGCCUGCUGGCUGCUGCUCCUCAUCAGCACCUGCUGUCCUGCAGUCCUGCUGCUCAUCGGCCGAUCGGCGCCACCUGCUCGCGGUCGCGGCUCACCACGCUCAUCGGCUUGUGUAUCUAUAUCCAAAUUUACUGUACAAGGAUACAUCCCAUUCUAGCACGAGGUUAGGUUUUUUUUAAACGGAGGGAGCUAGCAACUGAUAGACCAACAACAUAUAUAGUCGUCUAUGGCCUCAUAAUGUUUCAACACAGAACUCGAUUAAUUUAAUUACCCAUCAAGAAAAUUUUAAACUGAUAUGAGCACGUACUAUUUAUGUUUAUAUUUGUGUUUUCUCUGCCUGUGAAAUUUAAAUUAUCAAGGUUAUGAAGUGAUACCACGUGCUGUCACAAGAAAUUUAAAUUAGCAAGUUCAUGAAUUGAUACCACGUGCUGUCACAAUUUCUCAUAACUAUUUAUCCAAAGAUUUGCUAUCAAAAUAGCUUGCCCCAUCUGCCAUGCAAUCAUCGGUGCUGAUAAACCAAUAGAUAGGCAGUAACCAUUAAUGCUUCUAAUAGAGUUAUAUAUUACUACUUGUCCAAAAAAGAAAAAUUCUAGCUAUGAAUCUGGACACACAUGUGUCCGGGUUCGUAGCUAGGAUUGGACUUUUUUUUUUUGGGACGGAGGGUAUAUAUUGGUUAAUUACAUCAAGCUACUUCUUCCAAUACGAAGGAUGUUGAUGAGUCAUCCUCUCUAGCGGGUGAUCGUGAGACCCCCUUUGUGAGUUCGUCUGGGGGAAAUGGCGCGUUGAGCAAAAGCCUACUUCCGAUCGGUGUCGUGGUGGAGAUGGAAGAUUUAUACAGGUUCGGGCCACUAUGGAGCGUAAUACCCUACUUCUGUGUGUGGGAUUAUGGUUAGUUCUUACAAGGGUUCAUAAGCUCCCGGGAGAAUUCUAGCUAUUCUUCCCUUAGGGCUCAAGUCAUCUAAGAGUCGCCCUCCUUCUCAGUAGGCGAGGUCCUCCUUUUAUAGUUCAAGGGGAUACCACAUGCGUCACCCAUACCUACCCUUCAGCGUAAGGGGGACCCACCCUACCUAGGUCAGGCGGCCACGUGUGCCGCCAACCGGGAGCAAGAUGGCCGCGCAUCUUCAUGUGGGGCCCAACACCAUCCCCCGCCUGUCACGGGGGGAAGGCCCCGUCAUUCGCCAUUUAAUGUAUGGCGGCAUGGGGGGAGCGCCCCGUCAUUCGCCAUUUAAUGCAUGGCGACUUUGGCGACUUACCACGCGCGGGGCGCGCUCCUACGAACGUGCCGAUGGGAUGGGGCACAACUCUUCCUGCUCGCCUGACAAAGGGGAGCUGCAGUUGCGCUGCCACCCGUCCCGUCGUCUGUGACCAGUCACAGACCGGUCACGCGCGACUGACGGGGGUCAGUCGCGUGGCGCCGCACGCCUGCUCUCACCGUAUUAAAUGCGGCGCGGGGCAGUUGGGGUGCUAUGCAUUAAAGGGCGGGGCGGCGUCCCCCUUCCCGACUGCCCUCCCUGCCACUUGUCCCUGCCACGUGGUGGCCGGGGGAGGGCCUCGGGGUGGCGCACGCUGAGGGUCCGAGGGUUGCGACGUGGCACCCCGAGGCCCCUCCCCCCCCCGGCUGCAUAGCCACGCGGCCAGACGAGAGAGCGACUUCCCUUUGCUGCAUGUACCCCCGAGCCCAUUUCACCGACAAAGGAACUGUCAACAUAAUAUGUACUCCCUAACUGAUUAUGUUACACCAACAAUCACUAGAACGGAUACUAUCAUCUCAAUCGGGCGGCAGCCCCCAUCUUAAUCGGGCACGGCGUCCGUCACAGGCUAGAAGUCACUGAUGUGAAAAGUUAUCUCAAUCGGGCAAACGGCCAUCACGGAUGAACCUAUCACAAUCGGGCCCUAAUUAAAGCCCGUCACCGAUAGCUUUGACCUAGACGACCAGUCAAACUAUAACCCAUCACGGAUGACCUAUCUCAAUCAGGCCACAACUAGCGCCCGUCACAGAUGACUAUUAACCUCAAUCGGGCCUAAAGUACAGCACGUCACGGAUGACACUCAUCUCAAUCGGGCCUAAACUAUAGUCCGUCACAGAUGACCCUUAUCUGUGACGGGUAUUAACUAUAGCCCGUCAAAGAUGAGUCAUCUCAAUCGGGCCUAAGUUAACGCCCGUCACAUAUGAGUCAUCUCAAUCGGGCCAAAGUUAACGCCCGUUACAGAUGAGUAUAAUCCAAAAAAAAAAAUAAAUUUUAUUUUUUGGCUAGCCUCAGGCCUUUGCUAGCCAUGCCAUGCCGUCUGAAAUUGCUCCAGGCCAAGCACGCUUAACAUCAAAGUUCUUUAAAGAUCGGCUUCCGGAAAAGUAGUUGUAACUUGUUGUUGUUGGUAUGAGUAUUCUAUUAAUCCUAUUAAGCUCUAGACCAGGAUGUCACACCCCAACAUCCCCCAUUCAUAUACAUUCAUUCACAUACACAACCAUCAAAAAUCAUAAACAACAAAAUUGUAUAACUCAUCGAGAUCUAUAACUAUUGUAUCGGUCCUUUGUACAAAUAAGUUCAUUUGAACAAUUCAAAUUUUGAAUUUUCAAAAUUUGACAAAUUUAAACAAAAAUUAGGGUUAAUAAAUGAUUUCAAAUGGAAAAGUCACCAAAACUAAAGUUGUAGAGCUCAUCGAGAUGCAAAAUUUUUAUUUUGGUCAUUUCUCCAUCUGACUCUAUUUAGACAAUUUGAAAUUUGAAAUUCAAAAUUUGAGAAAUUCAAAUAUAAUUUUUUGUUAGUGAACGACUUCAACUGAAAAAGUCAUCAACAACAAAGUUGUAUAACUCGUCAAGAUCUAUAACUUUUAUUUUGGUCAUUUUUCUAUAUAACAUUUUUUGAACCGUUUGAAUUUGAAUUUGAAAAUACAACAACUUCAAACAACAUUUUCAAAUACUAAAUGAUUUCAACUGAAAAAGUUAUCAACAACAAAGCUGAAUAACUCAUCAAGAUCUAAAACUUUUAUUUUGGUUAUUUCUUCAUCUGAUAAAGGGAUAGUAACAUUGUUCACAAAAUUGACAUAUCUCUUAUCUGGUUUUAUAAACUAUAACACAUAUAUGUAAAAUUUGUGAACAAUGUUACUAACAUUUUGUCAGAUGAAGAAAUAACAAAAAUAAAAGUUAUAGAUAGUGAUGAGAUAUACAAAUUUGUUGUUGAUGAUUUUUUCAGUUGAAAUUAUUUAGUAUUUGAAAAUAUUGUUUGAAGUUGUCAUAUUUUCAAAUUCAAAUUCAAACUGUUCAAAAAAUGUUAUAUAAAAAAAUGACCAAACUAAAAGUUGCAAAUCUUGAUAAGUUAUACAACCUUGUUGUUGAUAAUUUUUCCAUUUGAUAUCAUUUACUUCCCGUAAAAUUAUUUUGACUCAUAAAAUAAAUUAUUAUACUGUAGUUAAUUAUAUUGCUUUAGUUCAACUUACGAAUAUAAACAUUUCAUAUGAAAGAUGGAAAAAUACUUAUCGGUGACGGGCUUUAGUUAACGCACGAUAGAGAUUAAGUCAUCUCAACCGGAGAUUAGUAUAUAGCCCGUCACUGAUGAGUCAUCUGUGUUGGGCCGGGUCUAAACUACGGCCCGUCACUGAUAGGUGUCAUCCGUGAUGGGCUUAAGUUUUAUGCCCAUCUAAUAUGUCUGUGCGACUAUAUCUCAAUCAGAUACUUUUUCGGCCCGAUUGAGAUGACUUCCCUGUGACGGUCCGCUAUUUUCAGGUAUGUUAGAGGCCGUCACAUAUAGAAGGAUAUGUCCUAGUAAAUAUAUAUAGUCGUCUAUGACCUCAUAAUAUUUCAACACAAAACUCAAUUUACACAUCAAGAAAAAAAUUUGUUUAUAUUUGUAUUUCUCGGCCUAUGAAAUCUAUAUCUAUACCUAAUUAAAAAAUUCAUAAGGUUUCCGGUUUGUUCGUUUCGUCCGUCGUCGGUCGUUGAGUCCGAGUCCAUCUUAGAAAAAAGAAUCCCCGAGCGAUCCCCAAAUCAAUCAAUUAACGAGACAACCAAAAAUAAACCAAAUUUAAUCUAGAGCUCAUGAAUUUGAUCCCAAGAAACCUAAUCUCCAUCACGGUGGUUACUAAAUAAACAUCCCAAAUCACAAAAUCCUCAAAAUAUUCACAAAUCAAACCGUCACCAUGCCACGAAACGCCAUCGUCUCCACAUCAGGGAGGUGAGGGGGCAGCCAGGGAGGAAGGGGCGACGGACAGUCGGGCAGCUGCUACCACCAUGCCGGGGAGGGAAGCAGCCGCCACCGCUACCGUCGCCAUGCCGGGAAAGUGGAGUAGCAGCCACCGUUGGCUCCACGUCGGGGAGGUGAGGGGGCAGCCGGGGAGGAGGGGGGGCAGUUGCUGCACCACGCCGGGGAGGGAAGCAACCGCCGCCGCUGCCGCUACGCGCCCAGGCCGGGGAGGGGGAGUAGCAGCCGCCUUCGGCUCCACGUCCGGGAGGGGAGGGGGGCGCAGCCGCUGCAACCACGCCGGGGAUGGGAGCAGCCGCCGCCAUGCCGGGGAGGAAGAGUAGCAGCCGUCGUCACUGCCGUCGCCGCCGGGGAGGGGAGCAGCCGCCUCCACCGCUUAGGAUUCGAGGCGACGGGAGAGGUGGCGAGAGAGAGAGAGGGGGACCAGCGCUAGAGCGAACAGAAUGCCGGCCGGUUUGGGGGAGCAAAGAGAGAGAGAGAGACAGGAUGGGAGAGAGAGAACGAGAGAGUGAAGUGAGUGAGAGUAAACAAGAAAGAGACACAAGAUGGGAGAGAGAGAGCGCGAUAGAGUCAGCACGAAGAGGAUAAGGAUCUCGACGACCACACGUUUUACUCUCCUGUAACCGGCAGCAAUCUUUCUUUUCUUUUUUUUUUUAAAAAAUAGGAGACUGAGGGUGUGUUUAGAUUCCAAAAUUUACAUUAUAUCAAAUGUUUGAACACAUAUAUAGAGCAUUAAAUGUGAAAAAAAAAUCAAUUGCACAGUUGCAAGUUACGAGAUAAAUCUUUUGAGCCUAAUUACAGAUUAAUUACGCUUAAUAAAUUCGUCUCGCAGUUUACAGGUGGAAUUUGCAAUUUGUUCUAGUAUUGGUCUAUGUGUAAUACUUCAAAUGUGUGUCCGUAUAAAAAAAAAUUAGGCAACGAACUAAACACGGCCUGAACUAAUUAAUAGCGGUCAACUGACACUGUGUUACAUAUUGUACUAAUCCAUGAGAUUCAAUUCAAUUUAUUUUUAUUAAGAUUUUUAAUUGUUCACAUCAAAAUAACAUAAACUUCUACUUUAAUAUUUAUUAGAAUAAAUGCUCUCGUGCGUUGCAAAGGGUGAAUGCUAUUUUAGUUUUAUUAGUAUUGUUCUACGGUCCAGCUAGGUGAAUUCACUUAGAUUUUUUUUGGAAAAUCAUGAGUUGUAAUUAGGAGUAUACUCUUAUCUCAAGUUAGCAUGCGAGAUUUAUUAAAAUGAUUUCUUAUACGAGUCUUUUGUAUUUUCAAAAACGUUCUAAGUUAUUAUGCGAGUUUUUUUAAAGAGAUUACUUAUAAGACGUCUUUUGUAUUUCCUAAAGCAAACAAACUUAAAAAUCGACUCAAACACAUAUCUCUAUUUUUAAAAUCGAACGAACUUAAAAAUCGAUUCAAACACGAACGAACUACCAAAGUACCGGUAAAAACAUAUUCAAUUUUUAUAAUAGUAGAGAUUUGAGAUAAAAAAAAUAACAAUUGUAAACAAAAUUAGUUUUUCCAAGAGGCUUGACCCGAUCACGCCGAGCUUUUAUUAAGAUCUUUUAUUGUUAACAUCAAAAUAACGGCGAAACUCAGGGCGGUGGGGUCAAGCCACAUGAGGUGAGCGCGAGGCAUGGCGUGGCUAGUUGGCUGGCUGCUCUCCCCAACGUUACAUUUUAUUUUGAUAAAAAGCUUUACCAUACAUAUGAUAUUUUCAUUGUAGACUAGAAAUGAUUAUUGAACGGAUAUGCUCUUAACCAUUUUUAGCUCUAAGUUCACCAGCAUUGUGAAUAUUAGAAAAAAAAAUUACAAUGUAUACUCCCAAUAAGUUUGCACUAUUAUAGCCGUCACGCUCAUUGAAACAGUUUUCUUCACCCGUUGCAAUGCACGGGUAUUUUUUCUAGUUUAAUUUAAAUUAGCAAAUUUAUGAAGUGAUACCACGUGCUGUCACAAGAAAUUUAAAUUAAGUUUAUGAAGUGAUACCACGUGCUGUCACAAUUUCUCAUAACUAUUUAUCCAAAGAUUCGCUACCAAACUAGCUAGACCCAUCUGCCAUUUCAGUCAUCAGUGCUGAUAAACGAAUAGAUAGGCAGUACCCAUUAAUGCCUCUGCUAGUGUUAUAUGCUAUUAUACUAGUUGAUACCUGAGCGUUGCCGUGAGAUUUCGUGGAUGAAAUUAGAUAGCUAAGACAAGACAUAUGACGUGUUCAAAAUAUUUAGUGUAGCAUAACUUAACAUAUAUUUAUAUGAUAAAAAACUGGAUGUAGAAAAAUAUUUUUGGGGGUUCAACUUUGUAAGAUUAGUAGAAAUAAUGCAAAGGGUGAUAAUCACAUAGUCCAAUAGGGAAACUAAUAUAGGACAACAUUUAUAAUACGGAAAAAAUAAACGACAGACAUUAAAGUGUAUAAUACAAUGGGAAUACUACUAGUGAAUCAAGUACUACUCAAUUCAAGUUCCUCUAUUUGAAAAAAAAAACACAAAUCCAAUUUAAACUGAAUGAAAAGUAAGAAAUAUAGGAUUGGAUUGUUGGCAGGUUUUUAUUUGUUGUCAGAUUGGCACCUUUCCCUUCUCCUAUCUUGAUUUGCCCCUAGGUAACACUAAGCCUAAAGUGGAAUUGAGAGAAAACUUUAUGCUAACUCAGCCUUUUUAUCCUAUGGAGAAAGACCUCAUAAUAUUUCAACACAAAACUCAAUUUACGCAUCAAGAAAAAAUUUGGUCAACUCAGUCUUCUCAUCAUUGCUAAUAUAUUAUAUGUGCACUUUUAAGUUACCUAAAACAGUCAUCGACAAUAUUAAUAGAGCAAGGAAGCAUUGUUUUUAAGAGAGGUUCUGAUAUAAACUCGAAAAAAAAAUCUUUAGCAGCCUAGGAUAGUGUAUGUAAGCCUAAGCUUAAAGGGGGACUGGGGAUUAUUAAUUUUACAAUUCAGAAUCAAGCCCUUCUGGUAAAGUAUCUAGACAAAUUCAGAAUCAAUCAACCUGAUAGGGGCUGUCUUACUCUUUUUAGUUCCAUGGAAAUGAAAAAAAAAUCAGUCAAAUUUGGACUGCGAGGAUGUCUUCAAGAUUCCUGCAACCCGCUUAUCACUACGCCAGAACCCUACAUUUGUGACGGCAUACCUCUGACGGGCCUAUGAACUGGUUAGAGAUGACCAUCACCUUUGACGGGUCGCUAGGUUUGUCGUCAUCGGUGGGGCAUCCGGCCGCGACCCGUCACAGGUAUCCCAUCACCUGUGACGGGCCAGAAGGAAAAGCCGUCACAGGUAUACCAGUGACGAGUUUUGCUUCCAACCCAUCACUGGUAUCCCCUCACCUGUGACGGAUCAAGGAAUUAUAAGCCGUCACAGGUGAUGGGCCGCCACCUGUGACGGCCUUGUUUUCCGGCCCGUCACAGGUGAGGGGAUACCAGUGACGGGCAACUCAAUUGAAGCUCAUCAAAGGUAUGACCAAUACCUUUGACGGGCUUUUUUUACCUAACCCGUUUGAGGAGUGUUAGGUCUAUAAAUACCCCCCAAACCGUCAACUGCUUCCCAUCCUGACCAGUUCACUGUUCACAAAUCGGUUGGGAGGACAAAGGGGGCGAAUUUUUGCUAAAAUUCUAGGUAAAAAACACAUUAUUCUUCUCUUCAUUCUCAAUAUAUCGAUCAUCAUAUAUUUUUCUUCCUAUGGUCACAGUACAUGGAAUUCUCAAAGGCCCCAAGAAACAUGCGUUUCGCAAUGUGUACGGAUGGCAUUAAUCCAUUUGGUGAUUUGAGCAGUCGUCACAGUAUAUGGCCAGUUCUGCUUGUUAACUAUAACCUUCCUCCCUAGUUGUGCUUCAAAAGAAAGUAUAUUAUGCUUUCCAUGCUCAUUCAAGGACCGAGACAACCUGGUAACGAUAUCGAUGUGUUCCUUGAACCGAUAAUCGAUGACUUCGAAAGGCUAUGGAAUGAGGGCACACGAACAUGGGAUGCAUAUGCACAAGAGUAUUUCAACCUCCAUGCGAUGCUGUUUUGUACCAUCAACGAUUAUCCGGCCCUUGGCAACCUUUCUGGCCAAACUGUGAAAGGGAAAUAGGCGUGUUCGGAGUGUAUGGAGGAAACAAGAAGCAAAUGGUUGAAGCAUUCACACAAGACGGUCUACAUGGGUCACAGGAGAUUUCUCCCAAGGUAUCACCCGUAUAGGAAUAUGAGAAAGAAUUUCAAUGGACACAGAGAUACAGCCGGACCCCCGGCAGAGCUAACAGGGACAGAGGUGCACAACUUAGUGAUGGGAAUAACCAACGAGUUUGGGAAAAAGAGGAAAGUUGGAAAGACAAAAGAGAAGAGCACGUCGAAGGACAAAACAGAAGAGCAUGUGGAAAAACAAAAGACAAAAGAGAGGAGCAUGUGGAAAAAGAAGUCAAUAUUUUGGAGACUAUCAUACUGGAAUGAUCUUGAAGUUCGCCACUGCAUAGAUUUGAUGCAUGUCGAGAAGAAUGUAUGCGAGAGUUUAAUGGGAUUACUGCUUAACCCAGGUACUACAAAGGAUGGUCUCAAUGCCCGACGAGAUCUGGAAGAAAUGGGUGUUCGCUUGGAACUACAUCCCAUAACCACGGAAUCCGGUAGGGUGUACCUUCCUCCAGCCUACUACACUCUCUCGAAAGAAGAGAAGAUUGAUUUGCUAACAUGUUUGAGUGGUAUAAAGGUUCCAUCUGGUUACUCAUCAAGAAUUAGUAGGUUCGUUUCACUGCAAGACCUUAAAUUGGUUGGAAUGAAGUCACAUGAUUGCCACGUUCUUAUCACAUAGCUGUUGCCCGUUGCAAUAAGGAAUAUUUUGCCUCCUAAGGUGCGACACACGAUCCAGCGGUUGUGUUCCUUCUUCCAUGCAAUCGGCCAGAAGAUCAUUGAUCCCGAGGGACUAGAUGAACUACAGGCAGAACUUGUGAGAACCCUAUGUCAUCUUGAGAUGUACUUUCCUCCAACUUUCUUUGAUAUAAUGGAACAUCUUCCCGUGCACCUUGUGAGGCAAACAAAGUGCUGUGGUCCAGCUUUCAUGACGUAGAUGUAUCCUUGCAAAAGGUACCUAGGGAUCCUUAAGGGUUAUGUAUGGAACCGUUCACACCCCGAGGGGAGUAUCAUCGAGAGUUACACCACCGAAGAGGUCAUCGAUUUUUGUGUGGACUACAUGUCAGAAACAUCUUCAAUUGGAUUACCACGAUCUCAUCACGAAGGGAGGCUUGAUGGUGUUGGUAUUGUUGGAAGGAAGAUUGUUAGGUUGGAUCGGAAGGUGUAUGAUAAAGCUCAUUUCACGGUACUGCAGCAUAUGACUGAGGUGGUGCCGUACGUUGACGAACACCUUGCAGUUCUCCGACAGGAGAACCCAGACCGAUCAGAGAGUUGGGUCAGAAACAAGCACAUGUCUUCUUUCAACGAGUGGCUGAAGAACUGAAUUGCCAGGUUGCAGAACUUGUCUAGUGAAACACUGCAGUGGUUGUCACCGGGUCCUGAAUGGAGUGCCACCACCUGGCAAGGAUAUGACAUAAAUAGAUACACCUUUCACACGGUAAAGCAAGACAGCAAAUGCACAGUGCAGAACAGUGGGUUACGCAUCGAGGCUGCUAGUGACGGUGGUCGGCGUGAUCAAUACUAUGGCAGAGUUAAGCAAAUAUUGGAGCUAGAUUACUUGAAUUUCAAAGUCCCGUUGUUUCGUUGUCGAUGGGUCGAUGUUCGCAAUGUAAAAGUUGACAAUGAAGGUUUCACCACUGUCAACCUGGCUAACAACACGUACAAGGAUGAACCGUUCGUUCUCGCCAAUCAAGUUGUUCAAGUCUUCUACAUAGUUGACCCGUGUAACAAGAAACUACAUGUUGUUCGUGAAGGGAAAAGGAGAAUUGUUGGAUUGGACAAUAUUGCAGACGAGGAUCAUUACAACCAUCACGUCCAUGGCAUAGGUCAAGAAAUACCUCUAGAAGAGGAGGAAGAAGAAGAUGCCGUUCAAUAUGCACGCGUCGACCAUGAGGAAGGAUUAUUUUUGUAAUUUAUGUACGUAGUUUAUGUCUACACAUGUCUGUUAUCUGUAUGGCUCUAAUAUGUUCGCAAUGAUCAAUACUAUAUUGCUUAUGAAAUAGGCAAAUAAAAAAAUUAAGUGAAGCACCCACUAGAAGUGAAAUAAAAUAAUUAAGCACGUAUAACCAUUGGAAAUAAAAUAAUAAAAUUAGUAAAAUAAUGAAGUACAAUUAUAAAAUAAUUAAAUAAAAUAAAAUUGUAGUCGAUGUAGUCAAACUCACCUGUGACGGGCUCUAACUAUGGGGCCGUCACAGGUGACCUCACCUGUGACGGCCCAGAACGUUGGGCCUGUCACAGGUGGCCUCAUUUGUGACAGACCUGCAGUUUGUGCCCGUCACAGGUGACCUCACCUGUGACGGCCCCAUAGUUGGCGCCCGUCACAGGUAAGUUUGACUAGGGUUGACCUAGGGUUGGACCUUUUCUAGAUGCAGAUCCGGCCACUCUCUCUCACUCUCACUCACUCUCUCGACCUCUUCUAGUGUUCGCCGCUCGCCCUCGCCACCGCCAUUUCCACCACCACCGCCGCUCACCCUCGCCGCCACGACCUCUCCGCCGCCAUGUCCGCCGCCCUCUACGCCCUCCUCUCCACUGCCGCCGCUCGCCCUCACCCUCUCUGCCCUCUCCGCCGCCAUCUCCACCACCGCCGCCGCUCACCCUCGCCGCCUCAACCUCUCCGCCGUCCUCUCCGCCGCCAUCUCCGCCGCCCUCUACGCCCUCCUCUCCACCGCCGCCGCUCGCCCUUGCCCUCUCUGCCCUCUCCGCAGCCAUUUCCACCACCGCCGCCGCUCACCCUCGCCGCCUCAACCUCUCCGCCGUCCUCUCCGCCGCCAUCUCCGCCGCCCUCUACGCCCUCCUCUCCACCGCCGCCGCUCGCCCUCGCCCUCUCUGCCCUCUCCGCCGCCCUCUCCACCACCGCCGCUGCUCACCCUCGCCGCCUCGACCUCUCCGCCACCAUCUCCGCCGCCCUCUACGCCCUCCUCUCCACCGCCGCCGCUCGCCCUCGCCCUCUCUGCCCUCUCCGCCACCCUCUCCAUCAACGCCGCUCGCCCUCGCCCUCGCCCUCUCCGCCCUCUCCGCCGCCCUUUACGCCUUCCUCUCCACCGCCACUGCUCGUCCUCGUCCUCUCCGCCCUCCUCUCUACCGUCGCCGCUCGCCCUCGCCGCCGCCGCCUCUCACUCACUUUCUCGACCUCCUCUCCACCGCCAUCUCCACCGCCGCUGCCUCGCCCUCACCACCGCCAUCUCCACCGCCGCCGUCCUCGCCGCCUCCCGGACCUCCCCGACGCCGAACGUCGGCCGUCACGACACCGGGAUCCACGCCGCCGGGAUACACGACCCCAGCCUCUACACCAGGAUCCACGCCGUCGGGAUACACGACCCCGGCCUCUACAACACAGUGAUCUCCACCGCCUCGCCCUCUGCACCGCCGACCAGCGCCAUCCUUGCCGCCUCCCCGACCUCUUCUCCUCGACCGCCGACCAGGUACACCGCUACCCCCCUCCCCCAUCCUCGACCGCCUGGAUGAAUUGCAGUUUGGAUGGAUGAAGUUAUUUUGCUCAAUUAUUUGCUUGAAUGGAUGAAUUGUUGUUUAGAUGAAGUUAGUAGUACUGUCUCCUUUUUUUUUUUGAUGAAAUAUAUGCAUAUUUGAUUAUUAGAUGAAUGAAUUGCUGCUUUAGAUGAAAUAUAUGCAUAUUUGAUUACUAUCUCCUUACUGUUUAGAUGAAGUUUGCUGCUGCUCUAGAUGAAAUAUAUGCAUAUUAGAUGAAGUUUGGCCCUGAUUGCUUGAUUUUGAUGAAUGUUGAUGAUUGUUAUAGAAUGAAUUUGUUUGCUGCUGUUGCUGUUAUAGAAUGAGUGUUCUUUUUUUAUGCAUAAGAACAGAUUAUCUAUACUUGUUCAUUUUUUUUUACACUUGUUUGAAUUGCUGUUGCUGUUAUAGAAUUGUUAUAUGAUCGAAUUGCUGCUGCUGCUUCUGCUGCUGCCCCUGUGCCCCUUGUUCAGUGAUAGAUUAUUGCUAAAUGGCCAGUGAUAAAUGCUCAAUAACAUUCUGUCUAGACUUGUUCUUUUUUUAAUGCAUAAGAACAGAUUAUCUAAACUUGUUCUUUUUUUCAUGCAUAAGAACAGAUUAUCUACACUUGUUCAUUUUUUUAAUCUAUAAUUGUUACUGCUGCUGCUGUGUUCCUUGUUAAAUGGCCAGUGAUGAAUUGCUCAAUAAGAACAUAUUAUCUACACUUGUUCAUCUUUUUUAUCUAUACUUGUUCCUAUGUUUGCCGCCCCUUCUGCUACUGCCCCAUGUGUUCCUUGUUAAAUGGCAAGUGAUGAAUUGCUCAAUAAGAACAGAUUAUCUACACUUGUUCAUUUUUUUUAUCUAUACUAGACGUGGAUGUCUUUUAUUUAUGCAUAAGAACAGAUUAUCUACACUUGUUCAUUUUUUUAUCUAUACUUGUUCUUUUUUCUGGAUUGAUAAGAGGAGACUAUCUACACUUGGUUCUACUUUGGGUUGCUUUUUCCUCCUAGUAGAUGAUUUCCUCUUUUUUUCCCUUCAUGCAAAUGAUGGUAAUUGAUGCAUAAUUUCUAAGCAAAACUGAGGCCAUAUCUUUCAUAGUAUACCCCGUAUUACAUGUAUCUAGUGCUAAUUAGUAUAAUGAUAGGAAAUUUAUAAGGUUUUUUGGAAAAAUUAGACCGUGACAACGCCCGGCGUAAACCCGACUUCCUCGACACCUGCGAGGAUACAGGAAGAAGCAAACCCAGCCACAGAGACAGUUGCCAAAGGUCAUCCCUCGACAACGGCGGUCGAACAACCCGAAAGUCAUGGUAAUUUAUAGGAUAAAUUUUCACUACAUGACCACAUAAAUUUUAGCUAGCACCCCUUAGCAUAUGUUGCCUUCUGUGUGUGCUGCAGAAUCGCCCCAGCAAGAACAUACGUCGAUGUCGGGCGGGACAAGUGCGAGUAAAUCGAGUAGAAACCCCCGAAAACAAAAUAUAUGGCCGACCACAGUGCAAGUUCUAAGAGAGGUUGAUGCUAGUGGUAGGCCCACGGUGCCGAGGACUGUCAUUGGAAGAUGGUCUAACUGCUGCGGGCUGGCGGCACGUGAGAAUUUCGGGAUCCUCCAUAAAGAUAUCGGCAAGGUCAAGCGAGCUUAGACGGCAAUGGAGAAAUGGUUCACAUUUCCGGCUGAAGCAAAGGAUAGGCUCAAGCGGAAGGCAUUCCAUAAGAUGGGCAAAGCUUGGAAGAAUUGGAAGUCGAAGCUCUUCACCGACUUUGUCAACCCGUCCGGCAAUCAUACGCCGUUCGAUGAUUACCCUCAAAUAACCGAAGCAGUGUGGGAGGAAUUCUGCUCUCUGAAGAACAACCAAGAGAUUAGGGAAUCAAGCGAGAAACAUCGCCAACUGCAACAGCGGAAUGAGCACCCGCAUCGGCUGGGCACCGCAGGGUACAUCGGCAAGGAGCCAAUAUAGGCCCAAGAGGAUGUUGCCGCUGCAGCAGCGAAUGUCCCUGCCCCGUUUUCGGACAUCCCUAAACAAAGAGCUCGCAACUGGGCGCGGGCAAGGGGUAAGGUCAACCCGGACGGCUCUGUCACAUUUCAGAACAAAAGUGAUGCCGUCGUCUAUCAGGAACUGGUGAGUUCACUACUUAACCUAACUAAUUACCGUUCGUAUGAAGUAGAAGUUUGUAUAAACGACUCUUAUUUUUUAUAGUUGGGGUUGGUUGCUGAACAAGCUUCACAAAGCGAGGUUGAGUCCGCGCCGAAGAGGCGCGAAGAUGACAUCCUCACAAAGGCGCUCGGAACCAAAGAACAUCAUGGCCGGACUCGGGGAAUUGGCAGCGAUGUGCCCUGGAAGCAUGGACUCCCGCAGUACAGCUCCCAAUACAGGAAACGGAAAGUCUCCAAGGAAGAGAGGGACGCUCGUUUGAAGGCCGAGCUUAAGCUGGAGGUCAUUCAAGAACUACAAGCUAGCAUGGACGCUAGGGUGGAAGAAAGGGUUAACAAGGUCCUCGCCGACAUGAAUAUACCCCGAGGCACAACACCUGCUGUGCAUCCAACUCCUUGUGCACAACACGACGCGAGUCCGUCACAGCGUAGGAGUAGUUGUGCAUCCAUAGAGGUGCCGGCCCCUGGUCUCCCGGUCGCACCACUAGCUGCAGUGGACCACAUAGAGGUAAUUGAUGUUAUCCGAUCCAUAUCUAAUCAAAAACCUGUACACAUUCCAAUAUUAAAUUCAAACUUUUACAUAUGCAGGGCGUAGCACAGUGUGUCCUACUGGCGAGGAUCCACCCAACUUUCACUCCCGAAGUCGCUGAGGGCAUGGCUUUCAAACCCUCGGUUACAGAUAAGGUCCACGGCGCAGACCUGCUAGCUGGGUAUGCCAAGGUGUCCAUCGAUACAGUAAAGGACACCUGGUCAGGCUAUCCGUUGCCCGUGGCCCCCAAUGAUGAAAUCAUGACUUUGGGCGAUGCACGCAAGACGUUCAUACAAUGGCCCAAAGAAGACAUAGUUGUGAAGAUGACUCCUCGUCCAAAUCGACCGACGGAGCUUACACCUCCCAAGUCUAAGCUAUCAAUUGAGGCUUCCCGUGGACCGGCAUUGUCAGUACCUCAUUCUCCUGAUGGAGAUGAUAUGGACUUGGGAGAUAUAGCUCAAAGCUUGGCUCCAAUAAAGACCACAAGAAAGGCCGAUAGCUCCCCACCACUUGUCAAGAGCCAGAAGCGUGAACGCGGCAAGGGGAAGGUCGGGGAGUUGGCGCCGGUGCCAAAAAGGGGCAAGUCUGCGACGUCGAUGCCGGAGAGCAAAGCGAGGAAGGUCGUGAGGGCGCCGGCCCAAUUUGAGCUAGGCAUGCCAUUGGUGGAGGACAAUGUGUUAGCCGUGAUGGGUAUUGCUUGCCGAGAGCUACAUAAGCAAUACAUGGAGCUAAGCAAUGCCAAGCGGAAAAUGAGGGAGUCAUCCAUAGUUGGACAUCACGACCACCAGCCGUUCCUAUCGUCGCCUGCCUAUCUAACUAUAGGCUUUGAUGACCUCUUCGACCUUUUCAAGAUCCGGAAGUUGGACACAGGACUUCUAAAAUGCUACUCCUUGUAAGUGCAGACCUUCCAUACUUAUGAUAUGAUUGGACUAUAUCUCCUAAUUAAAUUAGUUCUAAUAAGUAAAUGUUUUUAGGUUGUGUUGGAUCGAGAGUCGUCGCCAUGGUAAACAGGUUGGGUUCCUUGAUCCAUCCAUGGUGAGCGAGGUCAAUUUAUACCAGAGCUUCACUGAUGUGGUUGACUAUGUCAACCGGUGUUUAUGGGCCCACCAAGACAAGGAGUACAUCAUGUGCGCACACAACCAGGAAUAAGAGGACAAUACCCUUCGUGCAUAUUGUUUUUGAAGUUAAGUUUCUUAUUACUAACGCUACAUAACCACCGCGCAGGCGAUAUUGGAUUCUCUUAGUCAUCGUACCUAAGUGGAGUAGGAUUAACUACCUUAACUCCAAUAAGACGAAAGAUUAUGAUUUCACUGAAAUCACCAAGUCCUUAAAUAUGGCUUGGGGCCCAUAUGUGGAAAAGGGUGGUAGGCACAAGGAGGGCAAGGACGAACUCUAUCAUGACACCAAGUUCGCAUACGCACAACAGAUCGGAGACCAGUGUGGUUUCCAUGUGUGCGACAACAUGUCAACACUUCUAAGAGAGGUGAAAGAUUUCGACCCUGAGGUUGUUACUAAUGGCGAAUAAGCUCAUUUCAAUACCAAUAUUGCUAUUCUAAACGUGCUAACAUCUGAUUUAUUAAACAGAAAGGUAGAGCUAGCUUCAAGAUCUCACCUAUCAACCCCCCCUGCCCGCUAUCAGAGGCGAAGUGUGCGUCUUCAUUCUUGCAGAAAUAAUGAACAAGAAAGGACGUUUUCACGUCAAAUAGACUCAUGAACUUAGCUAGAUAAUUUAUUGUGAUGUAAAAAAAGUUGUUUUUAUUAUGGAGUGCAAUAUAAUUUACUUUCAUAUGUGCAAUAUUUAUGGUAGUUCGCUAAUUUGUCAUCAAAUUUGAUCAACUACGAUUUACGUUGUACUAUUCAUUUGUUUUCUGCUUUUUUUUUUCUAAUUGACAGGUCGUGGAGGUCGAGGACAUUAUGGCUUUAAUCCAUUUGGUAAGUAUAUAUGCAGUUCUAUGAGCAACGACCGAAAUUCUGGCUUUCAAAGGGUAUGAAUUUGAUGUGCAAAAUUGUGGCAUUUGAACUGCAUAUGUGAAUGAUGUCAAUUUUUGGGAUGGAUCUGUGAUGUUAUAUUGGGGGGGUGACUGGAAUAUAUCUGUGAUGUUUCUGUUUUUCAGAGGGCAUGGCUAGCAAAUCCUAAGGCUAGCCAAUAUUUAGAAUUUAUUUUUUUUCUGUGAUUAACUCAUCAGUGACGGGUCGGAACCAAAAUCCGUCACAGGUAACCUCACCUUUGACGGACUCGCAAAUAAAGGCCCGUCAGAGGUGACCUACCUGUGACGGGACUUUACUUUCAGGGCCGUAACAGGUAGAUCAGCUGUGACAGCUCCUAUCUACAGAGACCAUCACCUCUGACGGCAUUUAUUUAUAGGGCCGUCAGAGGUGAAUCACCUGUGACGGGUCCCAACUGGCCCUAGGAUAGCGGAGACCAAUACCUCUGACGGCCGUCUAGUAACUUGCCCAUCAGAGGUGGGUGUCACCUGUGACGGCCGACCACCCGUCAAAGGUGACUAGACUCACCAGUGACUACUGAUCACUGACCAUGCUCAAAGCUGUCAAAGGUGAGGGUUUGGACCCUUCACAGGUGACCUUGGCCAGUGUAGUGUAUCCUUUCAUCUUGUUAUGAAAUAUUUGGAUGAUCUUAUCCAUCCAUGGAAAGAGGCAAUCUAUCCGCUAUAACAACCCACAGAGAAGGAACGCGGCGGUUUGCCGCGCCCCUUCUCCCCUUCGGCUCCUCUUAACAACCGACGCGAUGAUUCCCAACCAUCGUGUCCCUGCGGUUGACACCCCUUCACACUGUAUAUAUUGCCUACUUUGAUCAAUGAGAACUCCAUUCGUUCUAUUAUGUCGUUCAAUUCUCUCUCGCUCUAUCAAUUCUAUUCACUCUCACUACAUUCUUCCCCCAACUCCUUAAUUACCCCACAACAGCUGGGUAUUUUUCUCGCGCGAUCAGUUCCCCCGCCUUAGUGCGCCGCCGUCUGACCUCACCGGCUGGCCGGGAGCUGACGAGGCCCUCCGCCCCCCUCCCCACCUCUUCUUUCUUCCUCCAUAAGUUGGCAGCGGCCUCAUUAUUAACUAUUAAUAUAAAUUCUACAAGAAAAGAUUGCAAAGUACGUAAUAAUAUUUCAAAACUAUUUUAAAAGACGUCUUUUGAUACCAUUUUCAAAAGUUGAAGCGAACUAUUCAAAGAUAUAUUAACGAUCAAAAAGUGUAAACCUAUGGAUUACAUGUUUUAUAAAAUUUAACUCAUUCAUAGCUAGAGAAAGUAAUUAAGAGUGAACAAUAAAUCACGAGGACGAACCAGGACUUUAUAUUAUUUGUUGAUAAGCUUGAUUAGCAAGUACUAGUCGCCUACCCGCGCGUUGCACGGGUUUUUCUUAAAAAUAUAUAGUAACUUAAGUUAAAAAAACGUCUCUAUUAGUUACUGUACAACUUUAUAAUAAUUCAUGACAUAGCUUCCACUGAAAUUACUUAAGUACUUGCAAUGCUAAUUAAUACUCCCGCCCUACUCAUAAAGGAAGUCGUUUACGACGACGACACGGUCUCCAAAACACAAUUUUGACUUCUUAUUUUUAUAAAAAUAUUUAUUGAAAAGUGAUAUAUGUAUACUUUUAUGAAAGUAUUUUUCAAGACAAAUCUAUUCAUAUAAUUUUUAUAUUUUUAAACUCAACAAUUUAAGAGUUAUUAAUGAUUUAUAUUCCCAAGGUUUGAUUUAAACAUUGUUCCAAACGAUUUACUACGUGAGUACGGAGAGAGUACUGCUUUUCUUUUGACUCUCUUUUGACUCUACUGUUUGGUUGGCUGCCUCGUUCGAAGCUUUGACAUCACGAUAAAAGUAGAUUGGAUGGGGUUUAAAAAGGCACAUGACGCUCAAUACGAUCAUCUAAUCAACGUCUAAAUAUUUCUCAUCAAUGUGAGAGCUCCCAAAAAAUAGUUAAUUAGUAGAGGUACAUAGGGAGAGAACAUGCGAAUUCGACUGAAUAGGUAAAUAACACAUUCAAGCCAUUCAAUAAGAAAAAUGUCAGCCAAAAAAUAAUUAUUCCAAUCAAAAUCAGUAAUCAAGUGUCGUCCUAAAUAGGCCACUAAAUUAAUACUCGCAAAUGCGACGAUAGAGAUGUGCAAGCAGUUUUUUUUGUUUUGUUGAUAACCAUCUCUUGACGACUGAAAUUUAUUGGAUUGGAUGAUGGCCUAUGUGAUGUCGUAAGUAGCCCAGGUCGGCGUCGUUUUUCUAUGAGAAAUCAAUCUUCUGCUUGAGUAAAAAAAAUACGUACCUUAUUCCAAUCAAAAACAAAAAUCGAAUGCAUCCUAUGCCAUUAAAAUUAGUAAGUACCUGCUCGACUUCAGAUUGGAGACUGUUCUUCCCCAAUUAGAAUGAACGACGGCUGGAGCGUGACGCGCAUCAUUAGCGAAGUAGGAGUUCAAAUCAUCGUCGCCGCUUGGUAUGAAAACAUGAAGCGAAAGAAGUACAUCGUGUAUCGCUCGUGAGCAGCAAUUUCCAGCCAAAAUUUCUCUCGUUGGUGCCUUUCCUCUGUAAGUGCGCUUGGAGAUUAGAUUGAAUGGUCGAUCGAUAACUGCAACUUGAGAUAUGGUAGAUGGGCUAUGAAAAUAGCCUACAAACAUAAAAGCCAGAUUGGGCUUCCUAGGAUCUUUUUUUUUUUGACUGGUUGCUUCCUAGGAUCUAUGACCUGGAUUGGAUCAAAUACCUAAUCAGCGGUUAGAGCUUCUAAAAAAUACAUAGAUAUAUAGAUUGACUUAUUAUUUUUUUUUAACAUCAUGAAAACAUACAUGACGCACUAUAGAUCUGAAUAAUGGAUGUAUAAUAUUCGUGUGUCGUACUUACAAAAUUAAUGAGCUAGCUUAUGCUAAUGCAUGAAUUCAUUAAUUAACAGUGCAUAGGGAGAAGCCUGUUUAAAUUUACAAACGAAGAAGGGCAGCGAACCUGAUUAGCUUGCUAAUUGAACUGAUAAACCGAUGGAGAUUAAUUAACCUCAACUCCUCCUGAUUUAGUUUUACAAACUUGGUCUGCCACCCUUCCGUGAUCAUCUCUUCUUUUAAGAAACCUUUCCAUGCAUGAUCACCUUGUCAGUACGCUCCGAUAAUCUGCUUUUAUGGUUGCAUGGCCAUGUCCUCAGGUUGUGCAGAAGCACCGUUUACAUGCAUUCAUUCUGGUAGACGCAAAUAGCGGCGAAGGUAGUUUUGUUGAGCCCUAGCUUGCUCUAAAAAAACAAAAGAUGAAUAAAGGACGGUUAAUUAGGUCAAUAAAAUAAACAUGAUUGUUUACCUGACGUUCAAGUAAAAUUGUAGAAAGAUAGAUUGAAGUGCUGCUCGCGAAGUCUCAUCUCACAUUAUGGUUGUGAUAAGACCAUGGCGAUGAUGGUUAACUGGAGCCUCUUCCAUUGCGGAUGUGAUGUUAGAUCGAUCUGCUCGUGUUCUCCGUCAGAUCAAUCUACUCGAUCAUGCUUUCCAUCUAUGUUCCGUUCGCAUGACUGGAGAACAGAUAGGUAACAACGAACGAUGGGAUAGUAUGGCACAUGGUAGACGGGCUUUUAAGUGGGCCACGCUGAUUUAGCUUAAAUGAUCAACGGUUACAAUAAUAUGAUCUAUUUGAUCAAUGGCCAGAUCUUUCUGGUUAACGUGAGAGCUCCUAAAAAGUACCCGAUUAGUAUAGGUAUAGAUUUCACCCUAAGACAACACGAUCACUAUCAAAUUGCAAGUUGUGAAACUGUGUGAAAACUUCGCAGAGCCCCUGCUAAUUGGACAUGCAGGCUGCUAAUAUGGCCCAGACGUAAUACAUUGGUUGAUAGCGAUCGAUCUCGGCCGUUGAGAAACAUUGAAACUUCGCAGUAACCCAGAUAUAGUCUCAUGCAUCUAUGCACGGCAGUAAUAAGAACAAACUGUAUUGACUUUACUCACGUCGACGUCAUAGUACGUACGUGUUGUUAGUUGUCAUGCCGAUUAAUAAUAUUAAUCCAACGUUCCCAAACCCAAGCAAGCAGGUACUGAGGCGUAGCAUCAGUUGACUAUAUAUAUAUAUAUAUAUAUAUAUAUAUAUAUAUAUAUAUCCCCUUUAUUUAGGCUAAACCUUAUUAUUAGCUUAGAUUUUUAAGCUGGCAUGCAUUUUGUCAGGGUUAUGGAUACCCCAUACCUAAUAGUAGUUGACUAAAUCUCGGCAGGACCCACCGCAUACUAUGUCUUAUACGAAAACAACUUUUGGAUAUAGGAGGAGUUCCGCAUAAGGAAUGAUGAAUAGAGUUCUACAUGAAAACGACAAGGACUACUCGGAUUAUAUCCAUAUUGGUUUCCCUAGUUCUACUUGGACCAGGGGACACUUAUGGAUAUAAAUACAAGACCCCCUAGGAGGAGAGGUGAGAUGGAACAAUAAAUCAAGACACAAGAUCAACAUACAAGCCAACACGCCACCAAAUAUCAACAUCAGAGAUUAGCUUAGACAAACCCUAUUCGGUACCUACGGGGGACGGCAAGAGGGGUCAAGCACUAUCUCUGAUCUCGACGAGUUCGUGCUCGAGGAAGAAGACUACCCUGUCAUCGACAACGAGUUGGUUAUCUGUCUGUCAAGUCGACGACAGCCAGAUAUGUUAUCCCACAUGUUGUAUAUGUGUGAUCCAGAUGAAUAAAGAGCAACACCGGCUUCGGCCAACAGGAUGUAGGGUUAUUACCUGACAAGUCAGGGGCCCGAACCUGUAUAAAAAUCCUCGUCCCCAUCUCUUUUAUUAUAAUCUCGCAUAUAUCCUAGUACCAACGAUCCCCAUACUAUGCAAAUAACGGAACCACGACAUCAAACGUCGACACAUUUUGGCUUUUAUGACAUAUAAGUUGGUCACUUUAAGACUUAUAAGGUGAAGUCAUAACUCUAAUCAUAUUAAAAAAAAGGCAAAAUUGGUUAUAUAGCAUCGAAAGUUCACGUUUUUGGUUUUAUAGCACCGAAAGAUACCGGUUCACUUUAAUAGCACCUAAAGUUCACCCUGUUCCCAUUUUUAGUACUUCCGUCAAUUUUUUUUAUCCGUCUUGAUUGUUACACACACGAUAUGACAUUUUUACCCCUCAUUGACAUGCAUUAUACUUGUACUUGUGAGGGGUAGAAACGUCAUAUCGUGUGUGUGGCUGGAUCAAGACGGACGGAAAACGAUCGAGAAUUGACGGAAGUGCUAAAAAUGGGAACGGGUGAACUUUGGGUGUUAUUAAAGUGAACUGGUAUCUUUCGGUGCUAUAAAACCAAAAACGUGAACUUUCUAUGCUAUAUAACCAAUUUUGCCUAAAAAAAACUACUCAAAUACAGCUUCUGGCUUAAUUAAGCCCUACUUAGGUUUAUAAGCCAAUCCAUGAGCUAAAAACCCAAAGCUUAAACAAAACAAGCAGUUUUUUUUUCGCUUUUUAAAAUCAUAAGCCACUAUUUUACUGCUAAGCCAAAACUUCAUAUGUAAAGUGGUGGUAUAACUCCAUUAAAUUUAAGGUUUCACAACCACCGGCUUAUAAAAUAUAUAAACCAAAACGCUGGCUUAACAUCCUGAGCCAGUAAACUUAAACGGACAAAGAAGACCUUAAUAUAAUAGGGUUAUAUAUAGCUUUAGAAAAGCUCAAUAGAAUAAAAAAUGUUUGUUUGGACUUAAAGCUUAAUUAACCCUUUGGUUUAUAAGUUGGCUCAUAGCCCUGUCUUAUCUAUCUAUCUAUAUACAAAGUGAUAGUAACAUCACUUAUAAAAUAUAAUAGGCUUAUAUAUAGCUUUAGAAAAGCUCAAUAGAAAAAAAUGUUUGUUUGGACUUAAAGUUUAAUUAACCCUUUGGUUUAUAAGUUGGCUCAUAGCCCAGUCUUAUCUAUCUAUAUACAAAAUGAUAGUUACACUGUUUACAAAAUUGACAUAUCUGUGUUGAUGUUUAUAAACCAGAUGAGAGAUGUGAAUUUUGUGAAAAAUAUUACUAUCACUUUGUCGGAUGAAAAAAUGACCAAAAUAAAAGUUGUAGAUCUUGAUAAGCUCUACAACUUUGUUGUUUAUGACUUUUUCCAUUUGAAAUCAUUUAGUAUUUACAAAUGCUGUUUAAAUUUAUCAUAUAUUCAAAUUGAAUUUCAAACUGUUGGGGAAUAUAGUUAUAUAGAAAAAUGACCAAAAUAAAAGUUGUAGAUCUUUAUAAGCUCUACAACUUUGAUGUUUAUGACUUUUCCAUUUGAAAUCAUUUAAUAUUUACAAAUGCUGUUUAAAUUUGUCAUAUAUUCAAAUUAAAUUUCAAACUGUUGGGAAUAUAGUUAUAUAGAAAAAUGAACAAAAUAAAAGUUGUAGAUCUUGAUAUGCUCUACAACUUUGUUGUUUAUGACUUUUCCAUUUGAAAUCAUUUAGUAUUUACAAAUACUGUUUCAAUUUGUCAUAUAUUCAAAUUGAAUUUCAUGCUGUUGGGAAUAUAGUUAUAUAGAAAAAUGACCAAAAUAAAAGUUAUAGAUCUUGAUAAGCUCUACAACUUUGCUGUUUAUGACUUUUCCAUUUGAAAUCAUUUACUAUCCGAAAAAAUAUUAUGACUAAUAAAAUAAAUUAUUAUACAGCAGCUAAUUAUUUUGCACUCACAAAUAUAAAGACUUCAUGCGAAAAAUGGAAAAAUAGUCAUCGGUGAUGGGUGUUAGUUAUAGCCCAAUAGAGAUUAAUCUAUCUCAAUCGGGCAUUAGUUUAAGGCCCGUCACAGAUGACUCAUCCGUGACGGGCCUAAAUGUCAUCUCAAUCGGGCAUUGCUAUGGAGCUCGUCACGGAUGACUCAUCUGCGACGGGCUCUAUGGUAAUGCCCGAUUGAGAUGACUCUUCGGUGACAUGCUUUAAUAAUGCACGUUUUAGAUGACUUUAUCUCUAUCGGGCCUUAACCAAAGCCCGUCCCGCUUGACUAUUUUUCAAUUUUUCAUGAGUUGUUUAUAUUUGUUACUUCAGCUAUAGCAAAAUAAUUCACUGUAGUAUAAUAAUUCAUCAUAUUAGUCAAAAUAAUCAACUAAAUUGGCCAUAUAAAUGACUACACAGAUCAAGACUUUGUAAUAAAACAAAAUACUUCAUUCAUUACGAUAGAUUAGUACAAAGGCAUCGGUCACAAGGUUAUGCCUUCCGUAUGAUCUGAAUGAGCAUAUGCCACAUACUCUUGGGGAUCAUCGUCAAGGUCGAUGUGAGGUCUUACAUGAAGAUUCUGGUUGUAUUCUUCUUCAUCGACGAUAUUUUCAUCUCCGACAAUUCGGCGCUUGCCAUCCCUCAUGAUGUGCAUCUUCUUGUUUGACGGGUCUUUUAUGUAGAAUAUCUGCUCGACCUGUUUCGCAAGUACGAAUGGUUCAUCGGCGUAUCUCUCCUUGGAUAGAUCUACUAAAGUGAAACCUUCCUUGUCGACUUUGACAUCAGUGCGUAUAUUCACCCAUCGGCAGCGAAACAAAGGAACCUUGAACUUGACGUAGUUAAGCUUCCAGAUCUCCUCAAUGCGGCCGUAGUAUGUGUUUGACCCAACUUGAUCCUGGAAUGCAUCUAUACGGACUCCGCUAUUUUGCACGGUGCUUUUGUCAUCUUGAUUGACGGUGUAAAAUGUGUACCCAUUGAUAUCAUAUCCUUGCCAUGUGUCUAUGGUCCAACACGGUCCCAUCCCCAACAACUGUACUAUCUCAUUUGGGACAUCCGUCGACAUUGUCACACGAUUCUUGAACCAUUCAUUGAACCAAGAAUUAUGUUCUCUGUUAAUCCAUGUAUCCAAGCGCCCCAAGUUCUCAUCUCGGAUUUUAGCUAAGUGCUCCUCAAAGUAAGAGCCAACUUCUGCCAUAUGGUUGAGCACAUCGUAAUGAGCCUGCGCAUAGGAAGCUUGAUUAGGACUAAUUCUUUUCCUUCCGAUUGUGCCAACACCUGACAACCUUUCUUGUUGACGAGACGCUGGAACUCCGAUAGGAUCGGCCUCGGACAUGUAAUUGACGCAGAACUCAAUAGCCUCCUCGGUCGUGUAACCUUCAAUGAUGCUCCCCUCGGGUUUAGCUCUGUUCCAAACGUAGGUUUUCAGAACUCCCAUGUACCUUUCGAACAGGCACAUUUCUCUUAGAAAAGCCGGGUCACAUAGUUUUGUUUGCUUCAUCAGAUGAACAGGGAGAUGAACUAUGAUAUCAAAGAAAGAUAGUGGAAAAAACAUCUCCAGGUGACAGAGGGUAUUGAUAAUAUCAGUCUGCAACCCAUCUAGAUCUUUGGGAUCUAUAACCUUCUGUCUGAUUGCAUUGAAGAAGGCACACAGACGUUGGAUCAUGUUACGCACUUUGGGUGGUAGAAUGCCUCUGAUAGCAACUGGCAAGAUUUGUGUGAUUAGCACGUGGCAAUCAUGAGACUUCAUUCUAACUAGUUUUAGAUCGUCCAAUUUAACAUAUUUACUUAUCCUCGCUGAAUAGCUCGAUGGAACUUUAAUAUCUUUCAAGAAUGAUAACAUUGCGAUUUUCUCAUCCUUCGACAAUGUGUGGCAGGCUAGAGGGAGGUGCACUCUACCUGUCUCCUCAUCUCGUAUGGGCUGGAGUUCACUGCGAAUAUUCAUGUCCUGUAGAUCAAGGCGUGCGUUCAACCCGUCCUUUGUCUUCUCGGGAAUAUUCAACAUCAGGCCAACCAAACUGUCACACACAAUCUUUUCUACAUGUAUGAGAUUAAUGCAAUGACAGGCAUCAAGAUCUUUCCAGUAAAGUAGCCGCCAAAAUAUGGAUUUUUUUCUCCCACAUACUCUUCUCCUUUGUCCUGCUACGUUUUCUUUUCUUUCCAAACUCAUUAGUUACGUCCUUGACCAACUUGUGGACCUCAUCUCCGGACAAAUCCUUGGGAGCAGGCUGAAGUUCUCUCUUACCGUUAAAUAUUUUCUUCUUUCUUCUAAAUGCUUGACGUAGCAGGAGCCACCUCCGAUGACCCAUGUAAACCAUCUUUCGUGAUUUCUUUAGCCACCGGCUUCGUGUAUGUUCCAUACAAUCGGAGCAAGCCUUCUUUCCUUUUACAGUUUGUCCGGAAAGAUUACCGAGUGCAGGGUAGUCAUUAAUGGUGUAGAACAAUAGAACUCUUAGCUUGAAGUUCUCCUGACCUUAUGCAUCCCAAGUUUCCACACCUUCUUUCCAGAGAAUCUCAAGAUCAUUGAUAACAUGCUCUAGGAAUACAUCGAUAUCAUUGCCGGGUUGCCUCGAACCUUGGAUUAACAAGCACAACAUAAUAUAUUUCUGAUUAAAGCACAACCAAGGCGGGAGGUUAUAGUUCGGAAUAAGAACUGGCCAAGUGCUGUGAGUACUACUCAUGUCUCCGAAGGGAUUCAUGCCAUCAGUACACAGAGAUAUCCUCAUGUUUCUAGGGUCGGCAACAAAGUUUUUGUAUUUUCGAAUGAUAUUCCUCCUUUCAAUCGAAUCCGCUAGGUGUCUAAGCAUACCGUCAUUCCUUCUCUCCGUGGCAUGCCAACAUACUAACUUCGCUUCGUUGGGGUUGGCAAAGAUUCUCUUGAAACGAUCAAUGAUAGGUAGAUACCACACAACCUUUGCCGGACCACCCCUCUUUGCCUUCUUUCCUUCUUUAGCACUUUUCAUUCGCUUGUAUCGAGAAGCCUUGUAGACAGGACAAGCAUCCAAGUCUGCAUAUUGCUUAUGAUACAAUAUGCAGUCGUUUGGACAAGCGUGAAUUCUACGGUUCUCUAACCCCAGUGGACACAGAACCUGCUUUGCUUCGUAUGUCGUCUCGGGCAAUGUGUUCUCAGCAGGAAGCAUAGCCUUCAAAAUUCUUAAAAGAUCUGUGAAACUCUUGUCUGUCCAUCCACUACUUGCCUUCAGCUUCAUUAGGUCCAAGGUAACUGACAACAUUGUGUGUUUUGCUUUCCAUCCGGCGUACAGAGGCAUCUCGGAGUCACUGACCAACCUGCUGAACUUUAUGGAAUCUCUCUCAUUGUGGGCUGGGUCCUCAACGUCACGUAACAUGUCUUGCAGCAGAUCGUGAUCCACAUCAACCAUUUCACCGCCCAAUGGAGAAGGUAUAAACAUGUCAUUCUCAUCUUCAUUGUAAUACCCUAUGAACUAGAGUAUGGUUGGGCGAAUUCGAGGACGAAUUCGAUUGUAGGGGGAAGAAUGUAAUGCCCGAGCUUCAUAUUAGUGUAUUUUAGGGAAUAUUAGAUCAAGCGCGCAAAAGUUCAAUUUUUUAAACCGUUGUUUGAAUAGGCGAUCAGGAACCGUGGAUGCGUAGAGCUCGUCCAGAAGUACGAAAUAGACUAUAAGUUUGUGGUAAUCGGAGUCCCGAGUUAUUUCCGGUAAUCGAUUUAAUGUGGGCCGUUUGAUCUUCAUUAGCCUCUCCCUAUUUAACCAAUAGAAGAAAAAAAAAAGAAAAAAAACAAGGAGGCAUCGCUAGCAGCUAGCCCUAGCCGCCGCCGUCGGCGUCUGCACCUCUGCACCGCCGCUGCUGUGCGUCCGACGCCGGUCGCCACAGCCAUCGUCUCCUUGGUGAGUUGCUGCUGCCGAUCUGAUUUUUGUCUUGCGUUGCUGUUGUUGCCGCUAGGACUGCUGCUUGCGCUGCUGCGGCUGCUGCCAAUCUGCUGGUGUUGCUGCGGCUACUGAUCAGCUGCUGUUGUCCCUUAAACGAACAGAGGAGGAGGAGGUUCUGAAGGCACAGGAAAGCAAGAGGGGAAAAGGAGAAAAAAAAGAGGCAAAGUUGGGGAUUUUCUGGGAUUUCACGAAUUGAUGUCGAAUUUGUUUUCCUCCUCAGUUAGGGUAACUCCUCUUGGUCCAUGGUAGUUCAGUUUUCACGUGGGAAUCAAUUGGAUUGCCGGUCGGGUGUUUUUAGUUGUUGUUUAUGGGCUGGCAAUAGUGUUUUCAAAUCUGGUAUUAGACCAUCGGGAUUCAGGUUAGUUGUCCUAAAUAAAUUUUGUAGUAAUCAUCGAUGUCUUUCUAAUGCCGCUGGUUUCGCUCAAUUCUGAUAAACGGUUUAGGAGAAACAGCAAAAAUAGUACUGCUGCCCGGUCUGUUUUAACAGGACAGUAAUUAGUUUUAUUUAAUUUGAGACCAACAGAGGCAUAAUCUGAUUUUCCUCUCAACAUGAAAGUUGUAGAGAAUUUUGUCUAGAUGUCCAAAGUGAUAUUAUUUGCUAGAUUCCAUUAGACGGUUUGUGAGUUACGCAUAAAACUGUAAGGGAACUACUAUAGGUUAUUUAAUACAAAUCGGUAAAAAAAGUCUAUAUGUUCUAGGCUAUCGAUUUUAGUAAAUAUCUCUUGUAACUGUCAUUAGUUGAGUAUAGUGGUUUAUGCGUUGUUUUGCUCCACAGGUGUGGAGGGUUACAACGUUGGAGGAGUUGAGUCAGAUUAUCGAAGGAGUUAAGGCAAGUACAAGACGGACUUAUAUGAUGGACAAUCUGAGUUGUUUUGUUUGGUUUUACUUGUAGGAUUACUAUUCAAUUGCUUGAUUUUACUGAUCGUAUGGCUAUGUUGUUAUUCUACUUAUUUGUGUUUCAAUCCAUAUUCAAAUUCAUGACGUUAUUCAUGUUUCAUUAUUCCGGAUGUUCUGUUUACAUUAUUCAUGAACCAUGCGUAGUCAUGGGAGUGCAAUUUGGGUCUUUAUUCAUGAUCCUUGAGAAGCGCUGAUUACGCUUGCUCAGCUUACCGGUAAUGCUAAGAGGAUAUUCAUACCUGCCCGGGAGGGAACUACUAUCUUUUGACUUCUUUGGUUUAAAACAAAGUAAAUGCAACCCUUCAUAUUGGUUUCUUAAUGCAUAAAUCAUAUGUAUGUUUUACUAGUUUAAUAUUGUACUUGCUGAGUAUUCUUUACUCACUCUUGUGUUUAAUUUGGUUUUUAGGUACCUAAUGACAUUGAUCGGCAUGGGGCGGGAGUAGCACCCUUGGACUACACAUUAUUAUUGCACACUAAUGAAAUUUAGUUUUAUACUAUGUUUUUGCUCAGCAUAAGUUUUGCAUAGAACUUGUAAAGGUCAUUUAAAAUUCUGGUCCUUAUUUUCACGUGGAGUUUUAUGGAGCUAGGAUGGUUUGGACUGUGUGGGUUAUUUCGUUAUUGAGUUAUCUUACAACUGCCUGUCGUGGAUGUUCGUAUUUUCAAGGGAGACUCUACCGAAAUUUCUAAUAAUUUUGGGAGUUAGUAGUUUUUGAGUGUUUUUUUGGUGUGGCACUCUAAGUACGUGGUUACCUGGGGUGUUACAUUCAUCUUCCUGAUUAUGCGCACCACUUCUGUCUGCAGCUGCACCACUUCCUGAUUCUUGCUCUCCAUGCUUCACCUAACAUGUAUAGCCCUUCAUGAAUCCUCGUUGUAUCAGAUGACCGUGUAUAACCCCUCCGCUAUCAAACAUAUUCUCAUUCUUGCAAUCUGCACAUGGACAACACGUGUAAUUGCUGUUUCUUCUUUUCGUAUCCUCCUCCGCAGCGUUCAUAAAAUUUAUUACGCCAUUUUUGUACUCUGGAAAAUGACGUUUCAAAGUUGUCGCAUACAUCCAACUUCGAUCCAUUGCUAUAAAAUAAAAAAAUAAAUUAGAGGCAAAUCUUAUAAGAUCAGUAUUGUUAAAGUAAGAUGUGAUGAAAUUGUUGAAUUGAUGAUUAGUAUUACUCACUUGAUUGCUGAUUUAAUGAUUACUUUUGGGAAUUUUCUGUUCUCCUUGAAAAAUAGACAAAAAAAAAAUCGCCCCCUACAGCCUCCCACCAAAACAGUGAACAGUGGGAUACAGUUACACUAGGUGUUGGGGGUAUUUAUACUGUGCAACAAAUAUCUAUAACAGCCCUAAAACAAUCAACCUUGACGGACAUAUAAGUAAUCUGUAUCGGGCCUUAAUAAAAGCCCGACAAAGAAGAGUGUCAUCUAUGACGGGCAUUAAACUUAUCUCAAUCGGGUCUCAAGUUGGAGCCCGUCACAGAUGACGGUCAUCUGUGACGGGCUUCUUUUAGGGCUCGAUUGAGAUAUGGAACCAUCAUCUCAAUCGGGCCUCACCUAUGGCCCGUCAUAGAUAAGUGUCAUCUGUGACGGGCUCUAGUUUUAUGCCGAUCUAGCAUGUCUGUGCGACCAUAUCUCAAUCGGGCGAAACUUUGGCCACAUUGAGAUUACUUGUGAGGCCCGCUAAUUCCAAGCAUGUUAGGGGCCUUCACAUAUGGAAGGAUCUGUACUAGUGAGAUCAAAAGCCCUCAAUCAAAUUUAAGAGAUAAAAGAUUCGGCCGGAUUUGAUGGGGAGAAUCGGCUCCAGCAUACUGGCAUGAGUCUAUCUUGAGGUUGAAAAUGACAGUCGGAUGUGCAAGCUGGACAUGUAGCUUCACUUGUGGGCUGGAUCGAAGAGAGAGCGGAGGGAGGUAGCGGACUAGGUUGGGACUAAAAAAGAAGGAAAGAACAGGUUUCAGGCCCAAAACCAAGGAACAAACUUCAUUAACUUUUCCAAUUAUACUGUAUAACGAUCCUAAUGUUUCAAUUCAUUGCUCAGUUCCUAAUAGCCGUUUGAUACGGAAUCCAACAGAUUGGGAAUACCAACCGCUCAAUCCGGCACCACGUCACCAUGACCAACACAGUGGGAGAUAUCACAGAGGCGGUGACAUGUACUCGGAACGGGGUUAUGAUGCUGGGGGAGCCAACUUAUGGCGCAAACGAAGGGAGACGAAAGGGUGGCAUACAUUCAGAGUACCAGUCGAAGCCAGUAGGAUCUUCUGAUGUUGCCCCAGACAUCCAGUGGAAUGCAGGUGCUGAUGAUCAGAGGAUGCGGCAUCCAGCUUCAGGAGCAUCGUACAGGGAGCGCAAAUACUACAUUUGAUGUUGCUGUUAGGAAACUGUAUGUGUUACAUGAAGAUGUAAUCAUGAAAUCAUCAUCAUUCAGCCCUGUAAUCAUAAUUUGGACGAGAUUAGUGUUGGGGGGAUGGCUCCGGAUUGACGGAGCAAGCCUCCGUCGGCAGCCACUUGUCCCGGAGCCCCCUCCCCCCCAAGGGCGACCGAACUCAAGCCAAGCACCGGGAAUCCUGGUGCCUCGAUGUACCGGAGGUAUUUGGGAGUCAAGGUGACUGAGGCCUCCGAAGCCGAUUGUCAUGCCCAGAAAUUCAUGAACCAGAAUUUCUAAGCUGAAUGUGCAUUAAAACCCCUGUCCAGGACCAAUCAAGCUACACAAACGAUAAUUGUUGACAUUGUUGAUGGUCGUUACCGAUCAGUUUUGACCGUCAAUAUCACCAAAAUAGAGGAGAAUUAGUUAUGCUUGCAAUGUAUAUAUGUGUUAGAAUAAUAAUACUCCACUAGUAUUAGAUUUACUAACUUUUUGCAGAGAAUAACCAUAAAGUGGAGGAUAAUCGACAUUGAAUCAAACGAUAAAUCAAUAGGACGAUAUCGAGGAUCAGACUUAUCAAUGAAUGGGCCAAGAACUCAGUCACAAUGAAUUGGGCCAAAAUUCACAAGUCUACGGAGAAGAGCAAUAAAGGGGCCGGUUUGCCCCAGCCCAUGGUUCGGCCGAACCAGGGGGUUCGGCCGAACCCAUCCUAGCGCCGUUGGAUGCAGGGUUGCGGCUGGAUGGUGUGGAUUAGCUCCGAAUAACGGUUGGAGGGUAUUUCCGACCAUUCCAAUGUACCGUCACAACCGUCAUUGGGAGGCUAUAUAAACCCCUCACUCUCUCCAUUUCAACACACACUCCAAGCAAAGCUCUAUCAUAUUCUCUCAAGUUUAGUUUAGUGUCCUUUAGCUAGUGGAGUAGGAAUAGAAUAGAAAUCGGAGUCCGGAAGCAUUCGGAAGAGUUCGGGUGAGUGGCUCCCUGCUUGUGUGUCACUCUAUUUUCUUUCCACUUAGCUUAGAUAUUUGAGUAUGAUAAUGAGUAGCUUCAUGCUUGUGUGUCACUCUACCCUUGAUUUAUCUUAACCUCUGCUUAGACUAUGAUUGUCACAAGUAACAUAUAAAUUAUUAGUCCGGUUCUCUCUACUAUGAUCUUCCUACAGGAUUAAACAAAUACGAUACCCUUGGAAUACUCUCGGGUGAAAUGCUACAAUGGUAUAUCCGUGCGCUUGCGGAUGAACUCUGUAACCAUAAUAUACUAGGAGUAUUUCUGCGUCAUUGCUGGGAAUUAUAUUUCUAGUAAUGUUGUUAAGAAAUACCAACAGACAUACAGAUCCACGUCUUACAAACAAUUGUCGUUUGUGUACCAUGGCUGGUUCUGUACAAGGGUUUUAAUGCACGUUCAGCUUAGAAAUUCUGGUUUUUGAAUUUCUAGGCGUGACACCGACCAAGGCCUCCGGAGCCCUUCAAGCCCCCAGAGCUAUCUAAGGGCUCCGAAGAUAACCUGGACCUCAAGGAGCCCUUCAAGGCCCCCGGAGCUAUCCAAGGGUUCCGGGGAUGACCUGGAGACCUCCGGAGCUAUCUAAGGCUCCGGAGAUGACAUGGACCUCCGGAGCCGCCCGAGGCCUCUGGAGUCAAGCAAGGUCCCUAGAGCUGAGUAGGCUCUCCGGGGCUGUGCGGGACCUCCGAAGCUGAUCACGGUCCCUAGGGCGAGCCACUGCCUUCGGAGCAAGUAAGAGCAACGAAGCAUGUGGAGGACUCUAGGGAGCGAAGGUGAAACUGGACCCAGAGGCAUAGUGGAGGGCAAGAAGUACACACUACGUACUCGCCAACCACCCCUGACACCUGGCUCAAGAGACGAGGCUGGGCAGGUGUCACGGGCUGCUUGUUGUGGCGCAGGCUAUGGCCAGUGACCUCGAGCGCCGGCCCAGUUUCCUUGGUAGGCACAGCCCAACCUUGUCACCAUGGAAAUGAUGAAGAGACCCAGGAGCUCGCCCGCAUGUCAGUCACUUUAGCCUUGCUUGAGAAAUAGAAGGAUAGCACUGUAACUUCCCCUUAUAAUAGCCUUGGAUACAGAAUGCACAUUGAUUGCGCUAGUUGGUUUUUGUACUGCCUGGCCUCGCCAACUGGCUGGAAGGCAUCAACGGCACCGACAAGCCCCACCCCCAUCCGGCCUCGCCCUCCCCGGCCCUUUCCUCCCUCCUCGAGUUGUCGGUGGUGAGAUACCCCCGCCCUGCUGCCUUCCUCGUCUCUGGCGUCUCCUCGCCGCCGGAUCCGUCACCACCUCCUAACCACAAGCUAGCUGUGCCCCCGUCACCAACGCUGGCUCACCGUCCUCCUCCAUCCCUAUGGCUCCGGCAUCGCCGUUGGCGCCUCGCUGCCCACCCAUGCAUUCCGCCGCCUCCCAUAACCAUCCCUCUAAGCCCAGUGACCUGCCCCUUUUUUUCCAUCCCCCUCCCACCCCCACCCCACCCUAGAACUGUUACGCCCGGAAAUAUACACCAUUUCCAAACGCUCAGUGCAUUAAUCCUCGUCCCAGGAGGCGAGGUACACAUAGACAUUGUUGAUUAUUACAUGCCACACUUGCGGAAACGUAAAUGAGUACUUUAUUACAUGGGCGACUUAGGCCCUCACACUCAAAGAUAAACAAAUAAAAUAGCGGAAGACUACGGAACAGCAGCAGCCACAGGCACUCGACGGCGGAGCGAACUAGAGAUCAAAGCCUUCACCUUCCUCAGGUCCAUCCUCUGGAUUAUUUUUGUGAGCAAGAGUGAGUACCACCACCGUACUCAGCAAGUCACACCGGAAAUGCAACAAUAAUGUGUAGGGAAAACAAGGAAAUGGCCUAAUAGGGUUUAUUUUGCAUAAAGCCAUAGUUUAAACAUUUUAAUCAGGUUAAAGCUCAUUUUAAAACACGAUCCUGUUCUAAGCCAAUAUUUUAAUAUCAUCAAGGUCGCAUGAGCCUGCGAACCUGCCUUAACCCAGGCUAAUCUCCACAUGACUACACCAUCAUGAUUUCACCCUCCCAAGGUUUUAUAAAACAAAACUAACUUUGGGUACAUUGCUUAGCUUGCCCAUAACCGAGGGCGCGGCUAUUCGAAUAGUUUUUAACUCUGAUCAGAGGUGUACAACUUUACCCACAAGACAUAACCUCGGUACUCGGAUAGAGGUCGUGACAAGACUAUCCAUUUAGGUCUACCCAAAACAGGAGAACCCGCUGAGGUUUCGCCGCCCGCCGGUCCCCGACAAGGUAAAGGUUGCCGGAUCCCCCGGGACGAGACAGGCCCCCCCUUGCGCCGGGUGAAAAAACGGCCUUAAUCCUAGCCCCACACCCUUCCAACCAAUGGUCUCUGUUUUGAGAAGAUCUAAACUUCCAGUCAGGCCUUACCCACUAGACUUGUGGUUGCACGAAGAUGCCUUGCAACAGAAGCCCGAAGACCGGUCCUUAUAUUGGCCGGGGUGCGACUACCAAAGUAACCAGCUUGCACCUCGAGCCCAGCCCAAAAAUAUAUUUUAGUUGCACAAAUCAUUUUAUCACCCAUCUAUUGACAAACCAGUCAAUAGUCCAUAACUAAUCCAAUUUUAGUUGUUAACCACCAAAGUCUAGUUUAACCAAAAGUUCUAGGUUGGAACUUAGCAUGACUAAGCAUUUACCUAAAGCAAUUAGUCAGUCCAUCAUGUAGGGUACUAGACUAGUCAAGUUAUAAUUUUACUAGGGUUCACAAAGAUCAUGGAUAUCAAAUCAACAUCAUGACCAUAACCAAGAGCAUAGGAAUAACUAAUAAAACAAUAUUAAUAAUGAACGGUAUAAUUUAUAAAGCAAUGCAAUAUAAGUAAAACAACAUAAUUUUCACAAUAUGGGAUUCAACAUGUUCAAGGUAGAUAUGACUUUCCUUGAUUGCUCACAAAGUCUUCGGCAUCAACGGCGAUGAACAGCUGAUCUUCCGGAACGGCGGGAUCUACACGACCAACGCGAAGAAAUACAAAAAGGCUAAUAAAAACCAUAUGAACAGAAGCAACAAAGAACAUAAAUGGGUUCUACUCAUUUUUAGGAGAAAUUAGAGAUUUGAACGGGUCGAUUCCGAGUUCAAACGGUCAAGAUAUGGCCAUUUGAAGUUUAAGUGCUGUUUAAAUGGAAAUUUGCAAUUUCGUGAAUUAUUUUACUAAAGGAAAACUGAUUUAUUGCACAGAGGAGAGAGAGAAGGGGUCCACGGGCGAGUCCCACUUGGCAGCCGCUCGGUACACCAUGAGGGCGGCUCACGGUGCACAAGCACGGCCGGGAAGGAGAAGCACCCGAGCAGGCGGCUCGCCAGCGACGGCCAACGGCGCGGCGACGGUGUGACGGAGCACGGGAAGAGGAAAAACGGAAAGGGGAAGAGACGACGGUUCUCACCGAGCAGACGCGGCGGCGAGAGAUCGACGGCGUUGCCGGCGGUGAGGGAGAAACGACGAGAAGCCUCGGGUCGUCGGCGUCGUCGUCGUUCCCGCGGUCCUCAUGCUCGACGGAGGGGUGGACGGGGAAGAGGAGGAAACGGCGACGCGGAUGGUGGCGACUCCAGGCACCGAGGAGGUCCCGACCACCGGCGACGGGCGACCGGAGUUGCGACGGCGGCGGCACAAGAAGAGAGCGGCGCGGCGGCCGCGGAGAGAGGAGGGAGAGGGCGGCGGUGUGAGGGGAGAGGAGGGAGUCGGAGUCCCUUUUAUAGGCCGGAGGGGAGGGAGAGAGACGCCGGGCAGGGAGAUCGACGCCGGCCAUGGUGGAGCUCACCAUUAAAGAACAUCAUCAAAAUCCAUCACGAAUAAUGCGGGAUUGAGUGGGAAAUUAUGGGGGAAUUGGAGAGGAUGAGGUGGGAAUUAAUUCCCCCCAAUUAAUUUGAUGAAACGGCGAGUGGAGGAGGCGAAUCGGAGGUUGCCGUCGCUUGGAAUUCGGCCGGAGAGAGAGGAUGGCUGGAGGUUAGGGAUGACGGGUGGGACCCACCUGUCAUCGAGAGAGAGAGCACACCUGUCUCCGACUGGGCGCGCAGGGGAGGUGAAGCAGACUUUUGUCCGAGGGAGAAGGGGAGCAGUUGGGCCAGCCCAAGGAGAGGGAGGGGGAGAGGAGAGAGGGAGGGGUGGCCGGGCUGGGCUGAGAGAAGGAGGGGGAGAGAUGGGCUCGAAGUGGCCCAAGAGGAGGAAGAGGAUUUCUUUUAGCUUUUCCUUUUUAUAAAAUUAUUUAAUUGUUUUUGUUGCCUUAAAAUUAUUUAGAAUGCUCUGAAAAUUCAAGUAAAAAUUGGUUAACCAUUUUAAAGCAUGGGGAAUUUAUUAAAAAUACCCACAAGCCAAUUUGAUAUAACUCUUAGUGAAUUUUAAUUGUUGGAGGCUCUUUUAGGCUUUUAAAAUUUCUAGAAAUGCAUUAAAGCAUGAUUUAAAUUUAGGGCGAUUUUCAGGGCGUUACAAGAACCCUAAUUCGUCGGUCCUCCGUUGAAGUUUUGAUUGUCACCGUCGCCGGAAAAGAAGAGAGGUCGUGAGAGUUGGAGAAGAUGCACAUGGAGCACGAUUCGCGAAGCACAUCCAAUGAUCCAAAUUCUGCAAGAGUUGGAAAUGCAUCCGUGUCAGUAGAAGGUUAGCAAAUCCAAAAAAAAAAAAAUCCAUCUGUGUCAUAUGCAAAUGCGGCGCAUACCAGUCAGUUUCCUUGCACAAACUUUCGUCAAAACUUUUGGUUGACUUCUUUUUUGUUUUACCCCUUGAAUUUUUGGUGGCUAUGUUCUCCCUCUCUCCGAUAUAUUAUUCAAACACGUGCUGUAUACUAAUUAUUAGGAUUAUUCUAAGUUCCUAGUGCAGUCAACUAGGAGGAUAUAUUAAAUGAAGGUAUGAGCUGAGUCAUAUCGUACCAAAAGUAGUAUAUAAAGGACUAUUUGUCAUCUCUCUAUAUAUGUUCAUUGAAAUAUCAUGUCCAUCUUUUGUUUAUGCAGGAAGAGGACAAAGAUGGAAGCUUCAAUGCGUUCGCAUCAACAUCUCCAUUGAAGCCAACAUCGGAGGAAAAGAACAAUUGAGAGAAAGCAAAAUAAAAAGGCAACAUGUCUAUCGGAAGGCAGCACCAUGGCCAAUAUCAUUCAAAAAGUCAGCUAAACAAUGGUCAACACCAUGGUCAAUAUCAUUCAAUAGGAACUCCCUUCAGCAUGUAGCUGCAAGUUGUAAAAUUAAGUCAGCUAAACAGUACGGUGUAUUUGGGUUCUGCCACAUCAAUGGCUACAACUUUGAUUUAUUAACGUUACAACGUUUGUUGUCUACUAUAUUUUGGUAAGUGCAUUUCAAAGCCUGUAAAUCUUGGUAAAUGAAGACAUGUUCUUACAACUUCACCCACCAUAUGUCUACGUGUCGAGAUUCACCCUCUGCCUAUGAAUACAAGCACCAUUAACACACGGAGUGGAUUGAAACCUUCUUAAACCAGUAUAACAUCAAAAACAAGUUCGACAAUACGAAAAUGCAUUCUAAGAGUUUAGGAAUAUUGAUGGUGGCACCGGCAAAAGUUAAGGACCGCAUGUGUACUCUUUUUCUAAGCACAAAUAUGAUUCUCCUAAUAAUAUAUUUAGAUAUAUACAUGUAAGAGUAUCACAAGGGAAGAUGAACCAUCCGUUGAAUUUUUCUUACUCCCUCAGUUUUAAAUUACUUAUAUAUCAUUCUAAUUCUGUUCAAAGUCAGAUAUAUCUAACUUUGAUCAUUAAUUCUUAAAAAAAUCUACGUACGUAGUUCAACAACAAAGAAUUAUGUAUUAUCAAAAUAUUUAUUAUGAUAAAUUAAAAAUAUAAAUCUCAUGAUGGUAAACCAUACGAGUUUAUAGAAACUGAUGAUCAAAUAUUAAAAUACAAAUAAAAUUAAUGCUAUUACUUGUGUAUCACUAAACAAAUAUAUUGAUAGCUUAAGUAUUCCUCAGAAGUUACAAUUAUUAAUUUAUCGAAAAUACAUACACAUAUUAUAUUUUGGACAUAGGACUAUAUAAUUGAUAACUUUGGUUUCAGCUUUUCAUAAACUUCAAAUAUAUUAUAUAAUGAUAUCCAUACAAGAAGUAUAUAUAUAUCGGCAAAGUAUCGAUCAAGUAUCCGAGAAGUAACAGUAAUUAAUAUAUUUUUUUGAAAAAUAAAAUAAAAUCAUCACUACGUGACCAAUAAGUAUAAGUAUAUAGAGUAUCCAUACGUAUCUAUAUCCGAAAUGCCAGUUUUUAGAAGUGUCCAGUAACUCAUGUGAAGGUAAAGCUAGCCGUGAGCCAUGGGCAGUUCAAAUAUAUUUUCACACACGCAUACACGAUUAUCCUACACUCCGGUCGCCCCGGGGAGGGGGAAAAUCGCUCCCCCCCCCCACCACCACACACACACGACGCGCGCACGUGCUCCUGGGCCCCACCACGUGUCCCUACCACCUGCCAUAUGUCUCCACCACAUAGUGCAGUGCAAAAAAUCAUCCACAUAUUUUGAAAACUCUCUACUAAUUAAGGAAAUUCGUUUCAUUUUUUUUUUCACCAAAUAUGUUUCACCUAGUGUACUCACAAUAUUUCACUAUGUAUAGAUCUAAUUUUGCAGUAAACUGAAACAUUCUUUUGCAACAAAUCAUCCACAUAUUUUGCAAACCCUCUAUUAAAGGAAUUUAUUUCAUUUUUUGUUCCACCGAAAAUGUUUCACCUAGUGUACUUAUAAUGUUUCACUGUAUAUGGAUCAAAUGUUGCAGUGAACUGAAAUAUUCUUUCGCUAUUUCAUGAAACAUUGCUUUUAUAUAAGGUGAAAGAACGCCCGAUUUAAACGAUUGAAAUAUUUUCGAUCUACUUAGUGAAACAAUUCCGAUAUACUUGGUGGAACAUCGUGCAACAUUUAAAGAUGGACAUCUUUAGUCCCGGUUGAAAUAACCGGGAUUAAAGAUGUAUCUUUAGUCCCGGUUGGUACCACCAACUGGAACUAAAGAGAGGGGACCUUUAGUCUCGGUUGAUGUUACCAACUGGGACUAAAGAGACAAUGGCGGCAGUGCAGAUGGUCCCUUUUUCUUUUUCUUUUUUCCUUUUUAUUUUCUCCCGAAUCAAGUAGGCAAAUCCCCAAAUCUAACUAACAUCCCAAAUUCACAUCACCAAAUCCACAUAACAAAUAAUAAAGUUACUUAAACACACAAAUCAAAUACAUCACAAUAUCCUAAGAAAUUACUCAAAUACAUCACAGAUCCAAACAAUGAAUCACAAAUUUGUAACUUAUCAGUCAAAUACAUCUCAGUGAAUCAUCACAAAUUAAAAAAAAAAAAGAGAAUACCGUUGCCGCCGCUUGUUGCCACAAACGACGGGCGCGGCCCCGCCGGCCGCCGGUCGCCGGGCGCGGCCCCGCCGCUCGCCGCCCGCCGCCGCCGCAGCCCCGCCGCCCACCACGCCCGCCGCCGCGCGCGGCCCCGCCGCCCGCCGCCCGCCACCCUCCGCCGGGCGCGACCCCGCCGCCCGCCGCCGGCCGCCGCAGCGCGCGGCCCCGCCGCUGGCCGGCCCGCCGGAUGGGAAGGGGAGGCCGGCCGGGAAGGGAAGGAGGAAGGGGAGAGAAGGGGGAGGAGAGGAGGAAGGGGAGGAGUUGGAGAAGAGAGUUAGAGAGGAUAGAUCUAAGGAAAGGGGGUGAGAUUCGAUCUGUUAAGUUGUAACUGUGGAGGAGAGGAUAAGGGAUAGGGAUUAUAUACUACGUGUUUAAUUUUAGUCCCGGUUGGUACUAUCAACCGAGACUAAAGAUCAUCUUGAUCUUUAGUCCCAGUUGGUAGUACCAACCGUAACUAAAGUGGUGAUCUUUAGUCCCGGUUAUUGACACCAACCGGGACUAAAGAUUCUCGGCCCCCUGACAUACAUCUGACAGGUGGUGUGAUCAAAAUUUUUAUAACCGGGACUAAAAACAAUAUUUACUCCCGGUUCUUUUUGAAUCCGGGACUAUUGUGGAUUUUGCCGGACCGACCAAAGAUGGUUUCUCCACCAGUGAAUGGUGUAAUCGGAUCAUGAUUUGGAUAAAUAAUUAAGAGAAAAAAUAGUUUAAAGUGGUUUUGCACGCAUUCGUUAUACUGAUGUCAGCGCCCGAUUUUCCACCUCCCCAUCGGGCACCCGAUCCUGAGUUGUGUCCGCGUGUGCACUACACUGUUCGGUCCGAAAAAUUCCAACAAAUUAGAAGAGGAGCUUAACUAAUUGCCGUAUUUGACCAUUCUUGUCUUACAAGAUGGACUUAUUGGCACAUGUGUACGCACGUCCCACCAUAUGCCUGCACCUAAAUCCGGCCAACAAAUUUUGACAGUCUUAUUGUCUUAGGCCCAAGUGUUCAACUUUAUGAUCAUCCACUAUCACAAGUGGAGGAUCAAUUUAUAUGUGUCCAGGUCCAAAACUCUUCCUCAUGCCAUCCAAGUCUCGUUCCUUUUCGGACAACGAAUUACGACCGUGUUUAGUUUAUUUUAAACUUUUAAAAAUUCCAUCACAUCAAAUAUAUGUUUAGACACAUGUACGGAGCAUUAAAUAUGGAUAAAAAAAACAAUUAUACAGUUUGCAUGUAAAUUACGAGAUGAAUCUUUUGAGCCUAAUUACGCCAUGAUUUGACAAUGUGGUGCUACGGUAAACAUUUGCUAAUGACGGAUUAAUUAGGCUUAAUAGAUUCGUCUCGCAGUUUACAGACAGAAUCUGUAAUUUGUUUUGUUAUUAGUCUACGUUUAAUACCUUAAAUGUGUAUCCGUAUAUUAAAAAAAAAUUGAAAUGGAACUGAACACGGCCAAGGCCUAAUAAGAACAAACUGUAUUGACUUUACUCACGUCGACGUCAUAGUACGUACGUGCUGUUAGUCGUCAUGCCGAUUAAUAAUAUUAAUCCAACUUUCCCAAACCAAGCGAGCAGGUAUUGAGGCCUAGCAUCAGUUGACUAUAUAUCUCCGCCUUUAUUUAGAAUUUUAAGCUGGCAUUUUGGCUUUUAUGACAGAUAAUGUUCGUGACUUUAUUAAGGCUUAUAAGGUGAAGUCAUAACUCUAAUCAUAUUAAAAAAACUACUCAAAUAUAGCUUCUGGCUUAAUUAAGCCCUACUUAGGUUUAUAAGCCAAUCCAUGAGCUAAACCCCCAAAGCUUAAACAAAACAAGCAGUUCUUUUUUCGCUUUUUAAAAUCAUAAGCCACUAUUUUACUGCUAAGCCAAAAACUUAUGUAAAGUGGUGGUAUAACUCCACAAUUAAAUUUAAGACUUCACAACCACGAACUUAUAAAAUAUAUAAACCAAAAUGCUGGCUUAAAAUCCUGAGCUAGUAAACCUAAACCUACACAAAGAAGACCUUAAUAUAAUAGGCUUAUAUAUAGCUUUAGAAAAGCUCAAUAAAAAAAAUGUUUGUUUAGACUUCAAGCUUAAUUAACCCUUUGGUUUAUAAGUUGGCUCAUAAGCCCACUCUUAUAUGUAUAAUUAGCAUGGUGGCCCGCACAGAUUGCACGGCUAGUAUUGUUACAUUCUUUUAUACAAUAUUAUAUAUAUAUUUAUAUUUUAUUAUUAAAAUAUAUUAAAAUGAUAACUUAACUUUUAAUUUUGUAAUAACUUGACCAAACUAACUGAUGUGUAACACUCAUAUUGUAUUUUAUAUAUGUGAUAUUUAUUAAUUGUUUUAAAAUUCUAAUUUUUAUUAAUUCUAAAUUGUAUUCCUUAUAUUCUAAUAUUUCUUAUUUUUCAAUUCCGAAGUCAUGUUAUUUACAAAUUUUAUUCCAAUAUGGACUCUAAACCCUUCUUUCAAUAUUUCUUAUUUUAAAAUCUCCAAUUUCAUUUAUUUCUAAAUUGCAUUCCUAUAUAAACUCUAAACUCCUCUUCCAAUGUUUCUUUUUUUUAAUUCCGAAUUUAUAUUAUUUAUAAAUUGUAUUUUUAUUAUAUGGACUCUAAACUCAUCUUCCAAUAUUUCUUUUUUUUUCUAAUUUCGAAUCUUAGUUAUUUCUAAAUUGUAUUCAUAUAUGGACUUUAGACUCUUUUUCUAGUAUUUCUUUUUUUUUUCAAUUUCGAAUUUUAGCUUCUUCUAAGUUGUAUUUUACAUGGACUCUAGAUUAUUUUUCUAAUACUUUUUAUUUUUAAAUUUUGAGUUUUAGUUUUUUUUCUAAGUUGUAUUUCUAUUUGGACUCUAAGUUAUACUUUUAAUUUUCCUUAUUUUUUAAUUCCAAAAUUUAACUAGAUCUAAAUUUUAUAUGUAUUUCUAUAUGGACUCUAAACUUAUAUUUCAAUAUUCCUUAUUUUUAUUUAUAAAUUUCGAUUAUUUCUAAAUUGUAUUCAUAUAUGGACUCUAGUCCCCUCUUUCGAUAUUCCUUAUUUUCUAAUUCCGAAUCUAAACUAUUUUUAAAUUGUAUUUCAAUAUGAACUCUACUUUUUAUUUUUCUCCAACUAAUGUGGGAAUUUCUAGGCCGUGAGAGUGAACCGUGGAGGCUCUUUUUUCUAUUCCUUUAAUAAGUUAACUAGCUGGGUGGCCGCGCAAUUGCACGGCUAGCACCCAUACAAAAUUAUAUAAUUUUAAUAUGAUUUUACUUAAAAUUUAUUAAAUAGAUAUCUCUUUGUCUUAAAAUUUUGAAAGACCAAACCUUAUCAUCCUCGUGUUUUGAAAAGUCACACCAGUUGCUACACCUUACUCCUGUCAGAUCCUUCUCACUGUUUCUAUUCAUUCUUCAUGGAAUAUUUAAAAAUUGGAUCUUAUAGUUUAAAUUGGAUCUUAUAGUUUGUAGAGUUUAUUGUUCCGUUGGGUUUCGUUUUUAUAAUUUCUAGAAGUCCCGUCAAACGCUACCAUUAUACUUAUCUACUGUUGUCCACUGCCUCUUCUCUUUAUUUUCAUUGGUAUUUUAAAAAUCGAACGUAAUUAUCGUUUAGGUUCAUUGUUUACUUCUAGAAGUUCUACCAAAAAAUGAGCGACUUUGUCACUGUACUCCUCUACGGCUCGCUCGCUGUCUCCCCUCUUUAUUAUCAUUGAGAUUUUAAAAUCAAACAUGAUUAUCAUUGAGGUUUAUUUUUUUACUUUUUAGAAACCUGAACCUUUAAAAAUUGGACUUACAGUUUAGAGUUUAUUGUUUCAUUGGGUUUCAUUUCUUAUAAUUUCUAGAAAGCCCGUCAAACGUUGCCAAUAUACUCCUCUACGACCCGUCUGCCGCCUACUCUUUAUUGUCUUUGAGACUCUAAAAAUUGAACAUAACUAGGAAUUCAUAUUUUAGUUUCAAAAGUCCCACCAACCAUCGGCAGCUCUGCCAUUGUACUCCUAUACGACCCGCCCGCUGCCUCUCAUUUUUAUUGUCAUUGAGAUUUUAAAAAUCAAAUAUAAUUAUCAUUGGGGUUAAUUUUUUUACUUUCUAGAAGUACCGCCAACCACCUUGACUGAUUGCUUCAAGACAUGUCCGUCGUCAUUCCUUUUAAUCGUCAUUAGGAUUCUAUUUUGUUGGUUGCUGAUUGUAUUAUUUCCUAUCAAUUACAUAUUGUGUUGACAAUUUUAUUGAUGCCUGGUAUUUAUAUGAGAAUAUUUAAAUCACCCUGGUCCAUAGAAUUCAGGGUGACAUAAUGUGCAGCCAAUACAAAUUGACUGGUUUUGAUUCCUACUGCCAGCUUUUAUCUUUACGAAUUGAAUCAGUGUCAUGCUGUUGUGCUAUAGCCAUAUGUCUAAACCUAGUCUGACAUGGAAAAGUGAGUCUACCUUUGUAAGUAAUGGACUAACGUACUUGUCCGUUUCUAAUACGUCAAGUCCUAUUAAGUCUUAACCGUUUAAAUCUAGAUCGAUCACAAUCUAAUGGUCAAUAUUUUUUUAUUUUUCUUCGACUAACGUGAGAAAUUUUAGCCUACACAACGAACAUCGUGCCUCCUUUUAAGGCUGUCUUAAUAAUAUAAUACAUAGAUUAAUUAUAAGAAAGUAUAAAGAAAGUUUAUUUUGUAGCAUCUGGUCCAAAACAACAUAGGUAUUUCCAUCAAGAUUCCCUUCUACUACCAAUGUUCAUGAUUUUCUUUAAAAAAAUAAAGAACGGGGAACAACUAAUGCAAACACAAUGCAUAUUUGCUUUUUUUUAAUAAUAUAUAAGCAAUUUCUAAUAAGCAAUUUUUUUUGCCAAGGAAAAUCGUCAGGUCCGCCCUCGCUCCUCGAUGACAUCAUAGCGGAGGCGCCGCACUACGCUCGCCGGCUGAGUUCGGUUGCAGCAGAAGAGCCCCGCUCUUGGCAUAUUGCAGCGCGAGCUGGUCCCCUCCUGCUGGCAAGGAGGAUCGCCGCCACCGGAUUCGCCCCAUCCUCUCGAUGACAUCGCCGGUGUGGAGCUAAGGGGGGCUAACCCUGUUUAAAAGAAAAACACCCCACCAUGUGUGUCUGAAAUAUCAAGAAGCCGAUCGGUGAGCCAGAAAUGGAUCUAUACAAAACGGAUCCAAACCCGAAAAUGUAUUCUGGGUUCAAUAACGUGGCACAAUUCUUUGAUGUCCAUCCGACGGUCGAGGAUUUGAGUGCGAUUUGGAGAGCACUUUGAAGUAACAAGCCCCUGUUCAUUAGACAGACUAAGAGCAUCUCCAACGGUCUCUCCAAAUCUCACUCUCCAAAUAUCUAUUUGGCCAACUCUCCAUCUAUUUUAGCAAGUCACACUCUUAUUUACUCCAACAGUCUCUCUAUCUAUCAUCUCCAAUAAAAGUCUAUGACAAAUGGGACCCAUAUGUCAGCCUCAACUACUCUUCAUCCAUCCUAAUUUUUUCCCCACAGGUACUACAUCUUCCUUCUUACUCCUGUACUACUAGCCCUUCCCCACGCCCUGUAGCUCAGUGCGGCGACAGCGGACGGUGACGGCGACGGCAACGCCGGACGUGUACCGACGGGCGGAAGCGGGGCGACGAGCGGAGGCGAGGCGGCGGCUCAGCGAGCGGCGGGACGGACGGAGGAGGGGCGACGGCUGCGGCGAGCGGCGUUGGCGGGCUGCGCCGGCGCAGACCGCGGGAUGCGGCGAGUGGCGGGGGCGGUGGGCUGUAGCGAGCGGCGUGGCAGGCGGAGGCCAACGGCGGCGCGGGGACGGUGGGCUGUAGGGAGCGGCGUGGCAGGCAGAGGCCGACGGCGGCGGCGGGCUGCGGCGAGCGGCGGGGGCGGUGGGCUGCAGCGAGCGGCUUGUCGGGCGGAGGCCGACGGCGGCGGCGGACGGCGGCGAGCGGCGGGGCGGGCAUCGUCUUCGCGCUCCCGUAGCAGUGCUCUUCCCCGUGCCUCUUCGCCUGGUUGCCGGCUCGAGCUCGCCGCCUCUCGUAGCGCAGUGCGCCGGCGUCGAGGGGGAGAGACCGAUGCAAGAGGGGAGAGAGAGGGGGAUGGAGGAGAUUGGCAGUGUGGGGCCCACCAAUAGCCAGCCAAAUAAACUGGCCAAAUUUAGCCAGUGAGGAGGAGGGUUUGGCCAGCCAAAUAGCUUGGCCAGUGGGUUGGAGAGGCUGUUGGAGCAUGUUUUUGGGGUAGAAUAGCCAAAAUUUAACUUGGAGAGUUCAUUGGAGAGGCUGUUGGAGAUGCUCUAAUAUGGCCACAAUACAUUGGUUGAUAGCGAUCGAUCUCGGCCGUUGAGUAAUAGUGAAACUUCGCAGUAACUCAGAUAUAUUGUCUCAUCUAUGCGCGGUACGUUUCCCUUUACUAAUAAGAACAAGCUAAAUUGUACUGGCGGUUCUUAAACUUGUAAGCAGGUUUCAUCUAGAUCCACGAACUUGUAAAGUGUGUAUCGAGGUCUCUAAAUUAGGUUUAUUGUAUCAUCCCGAUCUAAAGUCUUAUUUUGACCGUGGUCUUGCCUACAUGCCAUGCCAUAAAUAUAGCCGACGACAUGGCACAUUAUUAUUAUUAUUUUCUUUUUUUUCUCCCUUCUUCCUCUUUCAUUUCUCUCUUCUUCGGCCUCUUCCUCCGACAGCAGCGACGUUUGCGAUGACAGCGGCGGUCGACGCAGGGGAGCUCGAGGUGGCUCUAGUGGAGGAAGAAGAUAAAAGAAGAGGAGGAAAAAGAAAAGAGGGAAAAGGAAACAAACGCCAUGUCAUCGUCCAUGUGGCGUGCCACGUAGGCAAGACAACGGUCAAACGAAGCUUUGGACCGGGAUGAUACAAUAAAACCAAGUUUAGGGAUCAUGAUGUGCACUUUAAUUUGCAAGUUCAUAGACAUAAGUGAAACCUCAUAACAAAUUUAAGGAUCGUCAGUGUAUUGUACUCUAAGAACAAACUGCAUGUAUUGACUUUAUUCAUGUCGACGUCAUAGUGUUGUCAGUCUUCCAACAUUUCCCCAAACCAAAGCCCAGAGGGCAUGUACAAUGUAAGCCACUCCAUGGGUAUCCUCACUAACUGAAGCCACUCCAAGGAUACCCAACUCCCAAUGGAAGAUACUCGCAGCUGGCUCUUCAAAAUCUUAAGCAACUGGGUAGACGUACUCUAGCCCACCACGGGUUGCCCCAACCCACAUAUCCACAGGUAUAUAUUUCAUUUUCUACCCUAGCCCACCGUCCACCGGCUUCUCUCCUUCUCCUCUCUUUUUCUUCGCCCGUUUGACCCCAUCUCUCCCAUCGCCCUCCCAGCCUCUCUCUCACCCUCGUCGCUGCUCUCACAACUCUCUCCCUCUCUUUCUCUCCCGCCACUAUAGCUCUCUCCCAUGGGCGCUCUCUCUCCCGUCAGCGCUCUCUCCCUCCCUCCCCUGCCACCACCGCAUGACGAGCGAGGCGCGAGGCGGGGUGGCCGACGGCGAGCGGCGAGCUGGACGGGUGAUCGACAGCGAGCGGCUGGUCGGGAGGCCAGAUCCGGUCGGUCUCUCCCUCCGCUCACCGCCGCUGGAUCUGGUGGACAACGUGAGCUCCCCCGCUGGCACCGCAUGACGAGCGGUGCGCCGACGGCGAGCGAGGCGCGAGGCGGGGUGGCCGACGGCGAGCGGCUAGCCAGGAGGCCAAAUCCGGUCGGCCUCUCCCUCCACCCGCCGCUGCUGGAUCUGGUGGACAGCAUGAACUCCCCCGCCUCGCGCCGUCCACCACGCUGGUAGCCGGCUCUGCCUCACCGCCGCUGACCUCCCCGCCGCACACGCUGAGAUGGUCCAACUCACCGUCGAAGCUCUUCUUCGCCACCUCUCUCUCCCAGAUCUGGCAUGAUAGGGUUGCGUCGAGGUGAGGGGCAAGAAGGGUAAACAAAGGGGGAGGAGGUAGGGGACGGGGCACCGGUUCGCCCUAAUGUGUAGCCUCGAGAGAGUGUCUCUGAAAAAGGGAGCAAAGGAGCCAGAGGCGCGCGUUCCCCUUGUGGGGGUCGUGCCUCCCUCCAGGGACACGCCGCGUGGACGGACGGUGGACAGUGUGAGCCGGAGACAUGGUCAGGGGCACCCAUCGUAGAUGGCCUGGUAGCAGCUCUGUUGUGAGGUAAAAUCGACGCAUGCAUGCGUCAAAAAAAUUGAACUAAACACGCCGUGAGAGUCGGCUCUUUUUUGUCGUGGAGAAAAUGGACCCCAACCAAAUAGUCGAUCUUAGCCAAUUAAAAAAAUAUUGUCACAUGCGGUUGCUAUUUGUUCAUCGGUUUGUGUGAGGAAUUUUGAACCGAAAAUGCAUUCCCUGUCAGAUGGAGGAAUACAAAUAAUAUAACGGCUAUACGGGAUUAAUUUAGGCGUCGUUUAGUUCCCAAAAAAUUUUCCCAAUAACAUCACAUCAAAUCUUUUGAGCAUAAAGCAUUAAAUAUAGUUAAAUGAAAAAACUAAUUGCACAGUUAGAGAGGAAAUCACGAGACGAAUCUUUUGAGUCUAAUUAGUCCAUGAUUAGCCAUAAGUGCUACAGUAAUCCACAUGUGCUAAUGACGGAUUAAUUAAGCUCAAAAGAUUCGUCUCGUGGUUUCCAGACGAGUUAUGAAAUUAUUUUUUUCAUUCAUGUCCGAAAAGCUCUUCCGACAUCCGAUAUGACAUCAAAAAAUUUUCUUUUCGCGAACUAGACAGACCCUUAUUUUAGAACGGGGGAGCACUACUAAAUUAAGAUGCUCUCGGUAAGAUAGCAUUUGCGAGUACGGCACCAAACUCAGUGGCAUAUAUAGAACUAAUUUUCCCGUUGAAUGUGUUACUAAAAUACUAAUUAAGAUCCAUAUCAGAGUAUCUUUUUCUCUCUUAAUAUAAUUAAGUUGAGCUCGUUAGGGCAAGUUCUAUAAUUAAUGCUCCAUAUGCUACCCCUAAAAGUGCCACGUUAGAUUAAAUGAUGAAUUGGAGAAGAGAAGUGAGGAGAGAGAUGAUGUGCCACCCCUAAAUUAAGAGAAGUGAGGAGAGAGAUGAUGUGCCACCCCUAAAUUAAGAGGCAACAUUCACAUAAAUUUCAAAAAUAUUGUGAGAGUAUUAGAGACAUUAUUUGUAUGAGUUGCCUCUUAGUUUAUAAAUGAAUGAUAUAGAUAAAUUUGGAGGUGGUAGUCACAUGUGCCAUAGCGCCUUUAGCGAGUAAGGUCUUGUUUGGAUCCAGGGACUUAACUUUAGUCCCUGUCUUUAGACAAUAAUUUAGAGUAUUAAAUAUAGACUACUUACAAAACUAAUUACAUAAAUGAAAGCUAAUUCACGAGACAAAUUUUUUAAGCCUAAUUAAUCCAUAAUUAGAGAAUGUUUACUGUAGCAUCACAUAGGCUAAUCAUGGAUUAGUUAGACUCAAUAGAUUCGUCUCACGAAUUAGUCCAGGAUUAUGGAUGGGUUUUAUUAAUAGUCUACGUUUAAUAUUUAUAAUUAAUAUUCAAACAUCCAAUGUGAUAAGGAAUUAAAAGUUUUAGUCCCAUCUAAACCGGGCCUAAAGUAGUUACACUCUCGUACUUUUCCAUAACAGUCUAACGGUUAAUUAACUCUGUUGACUUGACUCGAUCGCACUCGCACAGAAUCUCCUCAUGCCAUGCAUGCAAUAAUGAGCUGUUUGCCUUGUUUGAGUGUAGUUUAUAAUAAUUACUCCCUCCGUUUCACAAUGUAAAUCAUUCUAGCAUUUUUUAUAUUCAUAUUGAUGUUAAUGAAUCUAAAUAAAUAUAUAUCUAGAUUCAUUAACAUUAAUAUGAAUGUGGAAAAUGCUAGAAUGACUUAUAUUGUGAAACGGAGGAAUUAGAAGUUUAAAUUUUAACCAUAACUUAUUUUUCAGUCACACGUACGAAUAGAUCGAAGUAUAUAAAUCUUAUCCUAAAGUUAUUUUUAAUUGCCUCAAUCGUACGUCCUAUGCUUUGUCUUAAUUAUAAGCUACUCCAUUAAAAGUAGGCUCAUAGCAUUCAUAAUUAAUUAUACAAAUUGAUCUAUACUCAUAUGGAAGAGGAGAAAAACAUUGAUUUAGGCUUAACACCGGCUUAACGUACAAAUCUACUCAUUAGCUUUGAUAAAAAGAAAUUUUACUAUACGAGGAUGGGAAACAGAAGAAGGGUAGUACUAAAGGAGAAUAUUUUCUAUGUUACUAGCAAAUGUGCUCGUGGGUUGUAAAGGGGUUGUAUAUGAGUACUUUGUUAUUUUUUUAUCUGCAAAUUAAAAAUCGAUAUUGUUGACGCUUUUUUGGUCAACACAACAUCACCUAACGAUCUUGUAAUCAACGGAGUUGUCAAAAACGAUAGAUUAAAACUGGCAAGCGGAACCGACUUCAAGAUUAAUUCACUUUCGCGGAAUCAAGCGACUACUCCUUCCGUUCCAUAAUGUAAGUCAUUCUAACAUUUCCCACAUUCAUAUAGGUGUUAAUGAAUCUAGAUAUAUAUAGAUGUCUAGAUUCAUUAACACCUAUAUGAAUGUGGAAAAUGCUAGAAUGACUUACAUUGUGAAACGGAGGGAGUAAUUUACAAGCAAAUUAGCAAAAGAGGAUAAAUAUCAUGCUUACAUGACGACAAACGACUAGUUCUCAAGCAAACUAGCAAAGGAUAAUCUCCUCGCUUUCGUAGAGAAGCACGACCAUUUUUAGCACAAAACGGCAAAGAUUAACCAAUUCUAGGGUUGCUAAAACUCAGCCAUGAAAACGAAAUAGAAAAUAACUAAAACAAAAGAAGAUGAAUAGUAAAUUGAUAAUUGUUCAGAAUUCUCACGUUCUACUGUUACCGAUAUAUACCGGCAAAAUGAUAAUGGUCCCACACAAAAAAACAAGGAAAUAAACUAAUAAAAAUCCAUUAUUAUCUUUAGCGCCGGACGCGCUAAUUCACCGGUUCCCAUCUCCUGUCAACCGACGCCAAAACUCCAUAACGCACGCGGGAUGCAGCUGCACCCAAAUUUGUCUCGGUCAGCAACGUCAGGGAGGAUGCUACGCGUCGGACGUCCGAUAUUUCGCAAAUAUCGGACGUCCGACCCCGCACCGCCCCGUGCUGUGCUGCUGGUUUUUCUUACCUUGCAUGCUUUAGUACUGGUACUUCUCUCUUUUUUUUCUCUCUUAUAGUUUGGUUUGCUACACAUCCAUGCAACCUUUUUUUUAUCAAUUUUCUAAAUGAUUUUUCUUCUAAAUUGUUGAUCCAAUUUACGAUCAAAUAACACCAUUGUGUUCAUUUUAAUUAAAUCUUUAGAACAAGAUCCCACACGACCAAAUUAAGAAAAAAAGAUAAUAUUUUUAAUUGAAACAUUUUUAUAUACUACAUGAAACAUUAGGUUGUAAUGAUUGAAACAUCACAUAAUAUUUUCUAAAACAUUUUUAUAUGCUACACGAAACAUCGGGAUGUAAUGAUUGAAACAUCACAUAAUAUUUACUGAAACAUCCAAAUAAUAAAAUGUGCAACAUUUGCAAAUGAAUCAACAAAUCAUCGAAAUAAGUCACAUGCACAUAACACCACGUACAAUAUUAGAUAAAAAUUCAUUAUAACAUAAAAACUUAAAAUGUGCAACAUAUUUGGAUUCCAACUGAAACAUUCUCUUUUCGCACGUGAAACAUCAAAUUUGAACAGUUGAAACAUAUAUAUUAUUUUGAUCAGAAUAUAAUCAUGUGAGAUCUUGUUGUGGAGAUUUAAUUACAAUGAGUAUGAUGGUGUAAUUAGAUUCAAGAACGAAUGAGUAAUUUAAAAGAAAAAAGUAUUUAAAACUUGCUAAUAAAAUUGUAUCAUUUACACAUAUCAAACUCAUAGUAGCAAAAAGAGAGUGCAUGUAGAGGAAAACUAGCCAGGCUACACGUAUGAAGAGAGAAAAAAAACACAAAGUAGCGUAGAAUGAGUAGGCACUCCAGAUAAUAGCGUCCGAUUUUUUUCAUUACACUGGACGACCGAUCUCAGCAACACGAACUCCUCAAGGAUCUCCAAAUUUGCAUGCAUCUGACUCCUCUGCUUCUGCUUUUCAGACUGACAUCAAGCAACUUUAACUCACUCACAUGAUCAAAUGAUAAAGUCACCCUCGAAUUUACAUGGAACCAUCUAUUGCAUCACAAAUUUCUACACAUGUAAACUGAAUUGAUUUCAAGCAAUUCAUAAGAUAAUUGCACCAUCUAUUCCAAAAUAACUUGGCCUGCACAAAUAAACUAACUAUAAACCAAAUUAUGAUACAAACACAUGUUCCCUGUUUUUGGUAUAAGUAGAACGUAUAACGUUUGUUUUACCGAAAACACUAUAAAAUUAAUCAACCCAAACCACAAUCAUCCUCUCAGAACGAUAUUCCACACACGGUCGGUCCUGAGCCCAUCUACAGCCGUUCUCUCAAAUCAAUACUCAACCACGGUAUCCGCUCUAAGACCAUUCACAGUUCUCUCAAAACGAUAAUCAAAUAAGUAUUCGUUAUAAGAUAAUCAAGUUUUAUGUUGUACAGAAAGAUAAUACCUUUCCAAAUAUUCCCAUUAAGAGCUUUUAUCCAACCUUCUCUUCACCUGCGUAGACUAUUUGAAACGAUUUUUCCCUUAUUUCUACACUAAUCAAGACCGACAUAUUUUAAAAGUAACUCAUAUAUAGUUCGGCGAUGUUACUCAUUAUCCAACAAAAUAUAUUUAAAAACAUGUCACCGAACUUUUCUAUCUAUUAUUUAAUCUAGGCUUUUCAAAUAUUAAUCAUAUACUCACUCCAGUCACCUGAUCACUACUGACUCGGCAGUCCCGGUGAUCCCCAAGCCGAAUCUCCAUACCUAUUGACAGUUCCUAGACCGCUAUAGUGUCGACAUUAUUGCUGUGUGCUAAUUCGGCCCACCUUUCUCAAACUUUUGUGCACUGUUUCAUCUAUCGCACAACCUAUAACAGCACUUGCGCACUUAUUACAUCAUUGCUAACAUUACAUGGGUUGGUUCUACUGAUGAGACCGCCAUCUGCAUUUACUAUAUCCAACCCAGCCGAAACAUGCAAAAUACGGUGUACUAUUGUGUAACGUGUUCCCUUUGCUUCUACUAUCUCAUGCACCGAAAGAUUGCUACUAAUUAAGAACACAACUACGUGAUUAACUAGUGACAUGAGUACUAUUACUAGUACCAUGCACUACAGUACUACCACCAUUAGAUAACCGGCUUGCAUAAACAUACUAUCUGAACCAAGAACUGCUUGAGAUAACAUCCAUUCGUGACGGUCUUUUGCCCGAUUGAGAUAACAUCCAUCCGUGACGGUCUUUUGCCCGAUUGAGAUAUUUUCUCACAUCAAUGACCUUUGCCUAGUGACGGAGGCCUUACCCGAUAGUGAUGAGGCUUUCAACCCGUUAGAGAUAAGAGAUCCCGUUCUAGUGUCACUAAAAGCUACAUCCCUCACACCCACAUAGACCAAACUCUGCAAACCGAAUAUAAAGUCCCAUACUUGGUUUAAAGUGCAAAGAUACUCUAAACAGACCGAUAAGGAUAGAUGUGUCAUAAGCAAAAUUACUUGGUGAAAUUAAAGCAAUACCAACACCUUCCCCACUUGCACAAAAUAUGACCGAAAUAAGUUCUAAAGAAUAAUAUAUAAAUACAAAGAUCACAAGUAUCUCUAGCACCUAAGUAUUUCGGUCUCUAAAAAUUAGUAGCAACAUCUAUGGUAGUUGAUCAAUAUGCAUAAUAAUUUGGUAAUAUCCCUCCAUAAUAUAAAGCCUCAUGUGAUAUCCAAGAAUUAUAAUAAGGUCAUGAGGGAUAACCAUACAUACCUGAUAACUGAUUCCAUGAUAUAGGCAUUGGUGAUGUAGGUGAAGAAUAUAAAAAAUGUGGUGGCGAAAGAACAUGAUAAUUGGAUGCAAACUAUUGAUUUGGUGCAUUCCUCUUAACUAACUUUUUCUUUGCCUCCACUUCACUUUUAGCAUCUUUUUCAUUUUGCAUAUGAACUCUUACUUUAGGAACCCAUGCCAUAUCCCUCUUUUUCAACUCCUGAGUACUGAGCUUCUCUAACUGCUUCUUGUGCCAAUUUGAUAAGUGUUGGUAUUUCUUACGAUCACAUAUAAAAUCCGCAAGCGCACGGAUAUACCGCUGUAACACUUCCCCUACGGAGUAUUCCAAGGGUAUCGAAUACAAGGGAACGUGUAUGGUCAGAUCUUCCUCCGGUUCAUCCAAGGACACCAAGCGAAUGAUAAGCCAGGAUAGAGGAUUUUCUAGUGAGAAACAAUGUCUAGGGAAAGCUUAACUUUAAUCCUAAUGCAAUACUUUAGGCACUAGCAACCCGCUGUUCCUAGAUGUCGCUCUACUACGUACCCGGACAGGGAGGACUUAAUCGAUCUCGAGGGUUGUCACCACCUCUACACCUACCUCAAACGUAUUGUGAGAUACGCAGCAAUUACUGGAUAACAAUUACCUAAACAUACGUCUAAGCAAUUAAUAUCUACUUUAGUGUUUAUAACUCACCAAAGCAAUCACAAUAUUUUAGUUGAUUAUAGUGAAGAAUAAUCCCGUAUGCUACUAAGGAAUUAACCAAGAGAUAAUUCUCACAAGAUAAAUCUAAAUUACUCAGGAAGAAUAUUAUAUUGAAUUCAGAGUAAUAAACAGAAUAAAAGAAAUAGGAAAAGAUUACCAACAACUCCGGAAUUCUUCCGACUUCUUCUACUCUACUCUCUUUCUAUUCUAGUAUACAAUAUAGUACAAUAGAGCCUCUUAUAAUUCAGCUCAAGCUUGGAAGUGUGUGUGAGAGUGAAGGAGUGAAGCUCCUUUUAUAGGGCAGUUAUGACGGUUGUGAGAAGGGGAAAUGUCCGAACUACCCCGCAACCACCAUCAGGAGUUCAUCUGGAGCGUCCACGCCAAACCCCAGGAUCAACGGUGAUCAGGGGGGUUCGGCCGAACCUGGGCUGGGCCCUCCUGGCCUGGCCUUCGGUCGGUGAACUCUCUAGACUCUCCUCUGUCCAUUUCUCGGUGUUUUGGGCUGAUUCACUGAUGUUUUGAUGAAGUUCACAACCCAACGUUGUAUGGAUACAUAAUUCUCCUCACUUUAGUCUAAAUCCUCUCAACAUCGGGGUUUAUUACCUGCAUAUAAAUAUACACCAACACUUGUGGAAUAUGUGAGAUUAAGCACCUAUCGCUAUGUUGGAUGUUUUAUUAUCUGAACUUUAUGUAGAUGUUGGCGGUAUAGAAUCAGCAUUUAACAGCCACCAACAAUAAGCCAUGUGGGUGUCUCAGCUGGCUACCAUUGGCUCCUGAGCUCUUCGGCAGAUUCUGAUUUGCUACCAACUUUGCCAAAGAUGACUCCCGCUUCAUACUCACAUAGUGUAAAUUUUCUAGCCGUUGUACACGUGCAUGCCCCCCAGGUUCAAUAAUCUUUUUUCUGAACUGAAGCCUUUUGUACACUCUCACAUUUACCAGUAGCUAAGACCUUUUCUUGACCUCUAGACUUCGGCACCCAGAUUUGCUUUCUUGAACUACCUCCCGCCUGUGUCGAAGACUUCUUCCUACUAGACCACCUAGACCGAUUUCUUUUAUCAAAAAUGUUAUCCUUAGUGUGUGACUUUCUCGGAGUUGCAAAAUGUAAUCGGCCUUCAUUAAUAGCCGAUUGUUUUUUCUGACAAAAUAUAUUAAAAUCUCUAGUACAAUGAUCGAACGAAUUGUGCCGCUUACAAUAAAUUCGUUCUUUUAAAUCCUGAAGUGAUGGCGUAACAUGGUGACCAAGUAAUUUAAUAUAAUUAUUUUCCAACAAGGCAUCAAAAAUAUGAUCACACAUGGUGAAAUCAAAAGUAUACUUCCUCUCCUAUGACUGGCACUUUUGUGUAGGCAGUUUUAAAGCUAAGCAAACGAAUGGUUCAGAUUUGCUAUCUACCCAUUCGGCUACACAGUUGCUUAAAUUUCCCAUGUCCGAUGAUUUAGAACUAUCCACUAUAGUAGAAUCAACCUCAUUAAUAUUUUCCAAUUUUAGUUUUGUGCCUCUAGCUCUAGAUUGAUCAUAAGCAAACCAUGCAGACAUAAACUUUGGCAAUGAUGAUAUAGAAAAUUUAAACACUUUAUUAUUACCAAUAAGAAUAUUAAUCUCCCUAAUCGUUCGCUUAGAGUUAUUCGUGAUGAUAUUACUAAUGCAGGUAUUAUUUUCUAAUAAAUGAUCAAAUUGGGAAAUAAUUACAGUACCUACAGACUUUGCCUGAUCUGAUGUGUUGGAGAGACAUGGUGAUUUUUUUCAUUUGAACAUCAUCUUGGUUAGGUAUAUGAUGGCCCUCCAACAUCUCCUCAUUGUUCUCAAGACCUUGUGCUUCGUUAUCUAGAUGUUCAUCAACUUCCUUGGCACGAAAUUCAGCUGGCAAAACAAAAAGUCCCAUGUUUCUAGAAAAAUCAAACAUAGCUACCUCCUUUUUAUUAGCCGAUAAUUCUAAAUUUAUCGGCUUUCAUUGUUUUCCUAUAACACUAUUCUUUGUCUUCUGCAAGCGUGUCAAUUUUUGUUUCCUUAGCUCUACUAUUUCUACCUCGAGCUCCUGCUCUAACUCACGCCGUUGGUCCUCAGACAAAUCAUCUAGUGUGACUGUGUUAUUGUCGAGAUUGAAACUAUGCUCUUGAUCAAUGUUGGUAGUUUCUGACAUGUGUAUUUCAGUUUGCCCCCCAGCCGAAUUUACAACAUUUGAACUCUGUGCGUGUUCGACCAUAUACAUAGUACUAUUUGAAUGACAUUUUGAAGAUGACAAACUAUGUGGGAGUACAAAAUCACUAAUGGAAGUCCUAUUAAUUCGGCUAUAAUCAUUGCUAGCAUACGAAGCCGAAUUAUUUUCACUAGAUAUUAUAUAAGUUGGCCCAUAAGACUGAGAUGUAACAUGUGACUGACCGAUACUUGGCAUGACAUGCAAUGAAUUAAUAGAAUCAACUGUAUAAUUAAUAUUGCCAUGGCCAUACAUAUCUUUCAUCGGCAAAAUUUGUUGUGUAACAAUAGGUUGUGAAAUAAUUGCCGAUCAAUUAAAAGGUGUGUGCAUAUUGUAUAUUGAUAGCAUUGUUAAAAUUUAAAGCAUGUGAAUUAACUUUGCAUAGGCUGUGACAUGCAUGUUACAUUCAUAAUUUAAAGAUCUCAAAUAAUUAUUUGAACUAUCAUUAGCCGAUACAGUGUAUCCAUUGAAAAUAGGGCUAGCAACAUCUAUAUGAGAAUCCGUGGCACAUGUAAAACUAUUUGGAGAAUUAGGUAUUGUAUUUGUAAAUUCUACAUCACAAUUGACGUAGUAAUUAAGGUGACCAUGUAGCAAUCCGGUACGCAUCCAUCUCAGCACAGAAGCUUGAUCGGUAAGAUAUUAACUUGCACUUACCGAUCGAGAGUCUCCUCCCCUCGCCUCUGUUCGCGUGCGCUGCACACUUCACAGCAGCACGGCUCCUCUGACCUGGUGUUGUGCAGUGCCUGUACUCUUCGUGAAUUGAUACCGUAGAGUAGAUUAGCUUCCUCCUAAUCCUUGACCUACGGGCGCGUGAUGGCCAAUCACUGCCGCCGAAUUGAUUAAUUCGGCAACCGACGCUAAAACAGUAUAUUGAUUUCGGUCAUACAGAGGACCGAAAUUCUCUCCCCAGCGAAGUCGCCACGCUUUUUUUUUUUUUGUCAACAUAAGAUUACCUAACAAUUUACGGUGUAAUCAACUGAAGUUGUCAAAAUCGAUAAAUCAAAACCGGCUAGCGGAACCGAUUUUAAAAUUAAUUCACUUUCACGGAAUCAAGCGACUAAUUUACAAGCAAAUUAGUAAAAAGGAUAAAUAUCGUACUUACGUGACGACGAACGACUAGUUUCCGAGCAAACUAGUAAAGGAUAAUCUCCUCGCUUUCGUGGAGAAGCACGACCGUUUUUCAGCGCAAAACGGUAAAGAUUAACCAAAUUCCAAAGCUGCUAGAACUCAGAUACGAAAAUGAAAUAGAAAAUAACUAAAACAAAAGAAGAUGAAUAGUGAUUGAUAAUUGUUCGGAUUCUCCCGUUCUACUGUUACCGAUAUAUAUGUCGGCAAAAUAAUAAUGGCCCCCCACAGAAUAAACAAGAAAAUAAACUAACAAAAAUCCAUUAUUAUCUUUAGCGCCGGACGCGCUAAUUCACCGGUUCCCAUCUCCUGCCAACCGACGCCAAAACUCUAUAACGCACGCACGCGGGACACAGCUGCACCCAAAUUUGUCUCGGUCAGCAACACGAACUCCUCAAGGAUCUCCAAAUUUGCAUGCAUCUGACUCCUGCUCUGCUUCUGCUUUUCAGACUGACAUCAAGCAACUUUAACUCCCUCACAUGAUCAAAUGAUAAAGCCACCCUCCAAUUUACAUGGAACCAUCUAUUGGAUCACAAAUUCCUACACAUGUAAACUGAAUUGAUUCCAACCAAAUCAUAAGAUAAUUGCACCAUCUAUUCCAAAAUAAUUUGGCAUGCACAAAUGAACUAAGGCUGUUUUUGUUCCCUUCAAACUUUCAACUUUUCCGUCACAUCAAAUAUUUGG